rnacentral:lncRNA from 1 species
UUAAACCAAACCACACAACCAUACAGUUUUUAUUUAUAAUUAAGAUUAUGAAAAUAGGAAAGACAAACAUGCAGUGUUCUUACAUUAGGAAAAGAAAGAGGCAUUCAAUCCUAAUGUUACAUUAAAGAAACAGAAACAAACGUUGGCAAUGACAGCCUUAUUUGUAACAUAUUAUGAGACUAUGCUUUUUGAUGGAGAGUGAAGCCUUCUUUAGCUGACGGGCAAAAUGUCUUUAAGACAUGGCCAACCAUCAACGAUAGGCUUUAUAUCACUCAGAAGAACGUCAUUAGUUGCAUUUGGAGUGAAUUUGAUACGAACAUAUUGAUCUCCUUUGAAAAGAUAAGCUUCAGACUCCUCAUGAGAAGCAAAAGACGCAUCAAUUCCACUUUCAAAGAUCGUAUCUUUCAGAACAGGAAAUCCAUCAGUGAUUUUACGAAUGGUGCCAACAAGCUGCUUGGAAUCAUAGUCUAUGCGAGUAUACUGAUUGUCCUUGAAUAUGUAAACUUCUUUUCCUAUGGUUGACCUGAAUGCAGAGUCUAUGCCAUCCUCAAACACUGUGUUUUUUAGGACAGGAAAUGUUUCAGCAAUUGUGGCAGGACCUGAGAGAAUCUUGUCAUUUGUUGCACCUGGAGUAUACUCUAUGUAGGCAGACUGAUUGGUUGAGAACACAUAUGCUUCACUCCCUUCAGUAUCAAAGGAACCGUCUAUUCCAGGUUCUGCAAAUACCGUUCCUUUAAAUACUGGAAAACCAGUACUAAUCAAACGCAGACUAGUCAAAAUCUUAUCAUCUAAUUUUCCUGGAGUGUAUUGCACCCGCACGUACUUAUCCUUAAUGAAGAAAUAGACUUCAUAAUCUUUUGAUGAACGAAAGGCAGCAUUGAUGUAAGCCAUCUUUCUUAACACAAGAAAUAGAGGGAUAUAUGAUAUGAUUUGAGGAUGCUUACAUUCCUCCCAUAAGCACCUAUUUAUACUGUUAUGGAGUUGGAACUUCUUUACCAUUGGUGUUGGAAAUGAAAUCAUAAAAGAAUCUUUUACAACAUCAAAAAUAAAAAUAAAAACAUUCGCCAUAUUGGUGCACAUGUCUUCUCUGUUUAUUUAUUGGCAUGAAUACACUUAUGUAUGCAUGUGCUGAAUCAGAGUUAAUCAAGAAGAGGAUAUCAAAUAAACAAAUUGAACUAAAAAAAAUUGACCACAGUUAAAACAAAAAAUGUUGUCAUUUAAACACUAUUGAUUGUAACUGAAAAUCACAAAUCUUCAUUUGAGAGGACUAUUAAGACAUAAAAGGAAAUCUAAGCAAAAAGUUAUAUGUUUGUUUCACAGUGCAAUGAUACAUAUUUUUUUUAGUCAUGGCAAAGAAAAAAAUAUUAAUUAUUAAUAUAUUUAUGUAGGAUUUUCAUCAAAUAAAAUGCAUGCAAAAUUAUGCGAAAUUGGGUUAUUUCACCUUUUUUUCAACCAUUCAGUGUUCUUGUUCAUACAAACCAUAUCCGAGGUACCACACAUCACAACAUAUGAAUUUUCAUUAACUUAACAUUAAUUUUGAUAAAUAUAUGAUGUUGAUACAAACCUUAUCAAGUUGACAACUGUACCAAAAUUGAUUGCAGGUCCCAAACAAAGCACAUGCAGAAGUUAGAUAACAUUUGCUUACGUGUUUCAAUUUUAGUGGCUUUUAAGGUUACGUGUUAUCCUCAAGUGCCACACUCUCAAUAAUCAUUUAAAACAUCCAAUUUUUUAACAUGUUUGCCAUUUAAAAAUAAUUUAUAAUUCACAUUCGUUUUCAUUAAGAUGAACGAAUUCAUAAUAUAUAAAUAAUUAUGGUUUAGUUGGUGUUAAAUUAGAAUUAAUGUUAAUUACUAAAUAAUAAAACUAUUCAAUAGCAACUAAUUUUAAAAAUAAAUAAAUUAUUAUAUUAAUUAAAUUAAAUAUUAUCUUAUAAAUUACAAAAUCAUUAAUAUUUAAGAAAAAUCUAUUAUUAAUAAAAAAAUUAUAAAUUAUGUAGUUUCUAAAGUGAUAUUCACAUAAUACCAAUAUUUUAAUUAUUAACUAUUUUAUAACUAUCAAUAUUUUAAUUAUUAAUUACUUGAUAUUCUUAAUUAAUCUUUAUAAUAACUAAUAUAAUGUUCUUAUGCAAAGUUAUGCUACAUUAUUUUGUGGUUUUAAGCGUCAGCUUAUGAUGCAACCAAGUAGUUUCAGCUGAAGUUCUUCUCUGCUUGUGCCAGACUAUGCAGCUCAGAUCAUCUCUUUGUUUUAGAAUUUUUGUGUAUAAAAGAAGCUCAGUAGUGUUAGGUACCUCUUUUAACUUAAAUAAAUAAAUAAAAAAUCACAUCAAUUAAAUUUAUUUAUUUUUAAUAUUUAUUUGAAUUAAGUUUAGUUCAUUCAUCACAAAUUUAACAUUAAUACAAAUAUUUUAUUCAUUGGAAAAAAUAAAACAAAUUAACCUCAAUUCAUAAUUAACAUACCAAAAUUUUAAGUGUAGUUUAAUAUGCACCACAAAGUUCAGAUAAAAAAUCUAACUAUAACACUAGGAUUUUGAACUAGGAUUCUGAGCUAAUAGAGAUAAAUCUUGGAGUUAAAAGAGUCACAUUUUCUUUUUUUGUUAAUAAUAUUUUUUUUUCAUGUGAUGGCAGAUGAUUGUUGUUACUUGAGGUGUCAGCCUAGCUGAGAUGUCAAGUUGCAUAGUGAUGUCUAACAUGAAAACUUUUUAUAAAAAAAAAAAGUUUAUGCAGAGACAAACCUAACAAGUUCAAAAUUUGACUCAAAUGGAAGAACAAAAAUGAACUUACUUUAUUAAAGAUUCUAAUUUGGCAGUCUUGUAGUAUUCAUUGCUAUGAGUAUGAGUCUAAUGACACACUCCGAUCGCCAAACCUCAAACUGGAGAGCGAGUAGAUCAGAAUCUUAAAAAGAAGACAGAGAAAAGAAAAAAAAAGAAUUUUUUUUAAAGAGAUGAUUAUUCUUUUAAAAUAAAACUUUAAUCUUUUAACUUUAUCAAUAAAAUAUUCAAGUGUCAUUUUAAUAAUACCUACUUUUACUCUAAGACUAUUUUAUUUGAUCCUACCUAGAUAUAUAGUAUUUUAAAAUAUUACUUAUACAUAUAUAAAAUUUAGAUAAAUAUAAUAUAUUUACAAAACAAGGCCAAAUAAAACGUCCAUGAUCUUGUACCUCUAUUCAUAUUUCAUGUAUGGCAAUUUACAAAACAAACAAUGUAUUAUACUAAUUUUAUAUUUUUAUGAAUAUAUUAAAGUUAUUAUUAUUUUUUAUGUAUUUUAAUAUUAAGAUGUAUUUUUAUGUUUUCAACUUUCUAUUUCAAUUUUUUAUAAGUAUACAUACAAAAUAAAAUAAUAAACGUGUUGAAUUUAAUAGCUUAUCCUAGGACCACACGUGUGAACAAGCCCACUAAAAGAUAUGAAAAAAGUAAUGUUUGGGACCAGCAUUCAAUCCUCUAUGAAAAAUCCCAAAAUUGGUCCCAAACAAACACAACACGUGAAUAAAGUAUAUAUGAAUAACUAUUUUCAAAGUAUAGUUAAUUAAUCAAUCUCCUUUUAUGACAACAAUUAUUUUCAUUCAUAUGAAUGCGAAUUAUUUUUUAACGAAUGUAGAGAACUAAUGUUUUAAAAAUAUUGAAAAAAUAAGAAUUCAAAAACUGGUGAAAAUUCGAAAAGUGAUAUUUUUUAAAUUAAGAAAAUUUAAAAUAAUUAUAUUUAAUUAUAAUAGUAUAUAAUUGUUACCAAAAGUAAUGUUGGAAGAAAAAUUAGAUGCAAAAUGUAAUGAUUAUAAAUAUAUGAAUACUAUGAAAAAUAAUAAUAAUUAUAAGAAAAAAUGAAAAAUAAUCAUAUUUAAUUAAUGAAUUGUAGUCCAAUAAAUUGUGAAUAUAAUGUAUUACAAUAGAUGACAAGUAUUGUUAGAGUCUUAUUGAAAGAAGUUAAGACCAAAUAAUCAUAUUUAACUAAUUCUUCGUAAUAAAAAUUAUCUACUUUAUGAACUAAUUAUUAAACUUAUUUUAUAUUUUAUAGAUGUUCAACUACUCGAAUCCGAAUAAAUUGAUUAUUUAACGAUAGUUUGGACAUCCUAUUUGCUCAACUUUUACAACACCUUAAAAUAGAUCAUGAUUAAAAUAACUUAAUCAUAUAUUUUCUACUAUUAGAUUUAGUUUAUAUGCUUUUAAUAUAUAUAAAUUUUGAUUUUACAUAAUUAAUUUUUAAUUUGAUUUGAUGUGGUUAAUAUUUUAUUAUUUUAUGAGCAUGUUUUUCUGUCAUAUUCUAAAAUCUGCAUGGGAUUUUUCAACUAAUGAACAAUAAAGGUGACAGUUUAUUAAAAACGUCAUCUAUUAUAAAAAAAAGUAAUUUUAAUUAUCAUGUAAAUUAAAUUUUUUAAAUAAUAGCAAAAUAUAUGACGGAUUAAAAAUCAUCAUUUUAAAACUCUAAAAACUUGUCAUCUAAAACACUUAAUAUUAAAAAUCACAAAUCUUCCAACUGUUAACACAUAUUUUUUUUUUAUCAGUAAUAAUAAAUAAAUAAAUAUGAGUUAGUUUAGGGUGAUCUAACUCAAAUACAACUUAUUAAAAAUAGUCAACCAACAAAAUACUAACCAAACUAUAUCAAAAUUAUUCAAAUUACUCUGAAAAAAAAAAAAACUCCAAAACCAACGAUCAAUAAAAUAUAAUCACAAUUAAAUUGAAUUUAAGCAAAUCAUAGAUUCAAGACAUCAAUUUAAAUAAAAAAAAUAAAUAGAUGAAAUUUUAAAAGAAAUUCAAAACCAAAUUUUCAUUUCAACUAAAACAAUCUUUAAAUAAUUCAUACUACAUUUAAAAAUAACCUAAAAUAUUUAUAAAAAAAAAUUGGACAACUGUACCACAAUUGAUUCCACCGAUAAAUACAACAUGUGAAAAAAUACCACUAGUGUGGAUUGUUUGGCAUAUAAAUAAAAGUUAGAAAUGUCUGAUUUCGAAAAUGAAAAGAAAUAGAAAACACAGAAAACGUGUUAAAUUUAAUAGCUUAUCCGAGGACCACAUGAUUAUCUUUUUAUAAUUUCUAUAAUUUCUUUUUAUCUUUUUAACGUAUUUCACAGUUCGUUUAAUAAUUUAUAAUAAUCAAUUAUAAAAUUAAAAGAAUUAAUGUUAAGAUAAAUCAUAUAUUUAUCAAAAUUAAUGUUAAGUUAAUGGAUAUUCAGUCCUCUGUCUGGUUUGUAUGAAAAAAAAAGUUAAACAACCCAAUAUCUUAUCUUUCAUCAUAAAUAAUUCUACAUAAUUAUAUUCAAGAAAAAUAUUUAUUUCACAAUCGUCCCAUCCUACAAUCCCAAAAAUAUUAAUUGAAAUUUAUAAUUUUAUUAAUUUUGAAAAAAAUUCUAACUAAGGGUUUUUUUAUUUUUUUUUUUAAAAAUUAAUAUUUAUUAAGCUUGUAGAGUAAACACGGUUGUCAAAAUAUUAGAACUCUUAUAUUCAAAUUUUUUUUUCUCAAUAUUUCUUACAUUAAAUAAAUACAUAAGACGAAUUAAACUCUAAAUUCUAAAGUUAGUAACUAAAAUUUUAUCAACCAAUUAAAUACAAAUUUAAAAAUUAUUUAUUAAUAAUAAAUAAUAAAAAUAAUUUAGAUAUUAAUAAUUUGUUAAGAUAAAUAUUGAAUAAAUUCCUAAACAUAUAUAUACAAUAUAAUAUAUAAAAAUUUAUACUGAAAUGUUAAAUUUUUGUGAAUAAUUAUGGUUUAUAGUUGUGAUUGUGAAUAUUUGCUAAAACGUAGUUGAAAAUUUCAAAAUGUUGAGCAGGACACAACUCAAUGUUUGCAAUAGUUCUCAAUGUCUAAAAGAAUGCAAUGAUAAUUCCAAGGUAAAAUUAUCUCCCAUAUUAUAGAAUUUAAUAUCUUGUUCAUUUCUUUACUAUUAAACUUUUUCUAAAUUCUUCCUACUAUUUCUAAAACUAUCAAUUUGAUUAUCCUUUUCUUAAAAAUCACUAUUUCUGGACCCUUUCUCUCCCACCCCAACCCACUCUAAAUUGCUAAAUUGGUGAUUGUUGAUCUUUCUACAUCUCCAUACUUUCUUAUGACAAUCCAUAAGUUUUUUAAUUCCUAAAAUAUCUUUUUUAACAUUUUGGAUUAUGUAAUCUGGAAGUCUUUUGUGAUUAGCUUCUGGAUUACAAAAUCUGAAAGUCUUUUCUAUACACGAGAUUAGCUUUUAGAUUAUGUAAUCUAAAAGUCUUUUUCUUUCAUAUGUUUGAUUAGCUUUCGAAUUACAUAAUCCAGAAGUCUUUUCUGGAUUAAGAUUAGCUUUCGGAUUACGUAAUCUGAAAAUCUUUUUUCAAAUGCGUGAUUAGCUUCCAAAUUACAUAAUUCAUACACUUAUCUCAAAUCCAAAAAAGACUUUCGGAUUUCGUAAAUCUAAAGGAAACUUUCGGAUCCAAAAAAUCUUCUAAAUUAUGUAAAAGAGUAUUUUUCACAUUUGGUACGAGGAUAACAAAAAAAAAAAAGUAUGGAAGUGCAUGAAGAAGGAGUCUGAAAUUCGUAUGGAACUCUCCCAUCAAUUUCAAUGCAUACUUGCCACAUUUAUACCAGCAUCUUUUAGUAGUUUAAGAUUUAAAGUUUAAAAUUUCAUAACUACUGAACACAGCCAUUGAACAAUCCAUUUGUAUAAGCUUUUCCAAGAGUACCAACAUCCCUCGCCAACCACCUGGUAAGUUUCAGCAGAAAAAAAAAAUUGAUCUGGAUAAUGAAGAACAGCUGGAUCAGCAUGAAAAUGAAAAACACGUCCAAUUUCAUGGUGAACAAACUCUCUGACAACACUAUAACGAUAUUUAUCUGAAUGAUCACUAAAAUGAAAAGAGAAGACGUGAAUUAUAAAUCAUUAUAUAAUUAAGAAUAAACUUUUACUUGAGUUACAGUAAAAAAAAAAAAAAACUACUAGCUCAUAUUGACAUGAAUGAAUGAGGUAAUAGUUUAGAUACUGCUUGCUUGAGAAAAAAACAGAUCAAGAUGAAUAUAGCUUGAGGGAGCCAUUCAUGGAGGAAGAUAAUGAUAAAUCAGAAAAAGAUAAUAAUCCAGAAAUAAACUAGACGAAACCUAGAAAUAAUAAACCAGAGUUAGUACAACGAAAAAAUAAAAAAAGAUAAUGAUAAAUAUUGUGCAAUAAGAAUUUAAAAUAAAUCACAAAAACUAAAGCAAGUUAAAAUUUAAAAUUAAAGUUAAUCACGAUUAAUUAAAACUACAAUUGUAUGUUAUGACACAAAGCAAGAAUUCAUGUUUAAAACACUACAACAUCGAAAUUAAAGGUAAAAAUAGUUUAUCAGAAAAAAAAAAUUAUAAACAAGAGAGUGUUUAGCAAAAUCCAUAACAUAGACCAGCAAUAACCACAAACAAAUAAUUAUGGUCAAUCAUGUUUGUUUUAAGAUGAAUUAGUAAACUGGAUCCCUUAUAAUAAUGCAACUGUAAAAUGACCUAAUUAAUUCAUAAGGAUAGAAAAGUUUGUCCCUGCAAGAAUAAGAUUAAAUAAAUUAUGCUCACUUAGUAUAUAUUUUAAAUAGAGUUUUACACACUGAAAAAAUCCAAGAGAAUGUAAAAUAACUGAAAAGAAUAGGUAACAGAAAUCACCUUACAUAAACAAUCAUUUUCCUUGUGCCUUAUAAAUAGUCUUAGGAAUACAAGCCAAACUUUUAGACUCUGGUAGAGCUAUGAUGUUUGGAAAACUAAUUCAUUGCACAUUGGCACUGUGAAAUAACAAAACAAAAAAUAAAAGGACCAAAAUAAAAAUAUAUAUAUAUAUUUUGGUUGGGUGUCUUUUGUAUAAUAUUUUGGUUAUUGUAGUGUAAUGUAUGUCAGAUCCUUAGUUAGUUGGGUGAUGAAAAAUUUGUUUGGUGUUUUUCUAAACUCCUUUCAUGGAAGAGAAGCUUCGAAACUACCUAGCGUAGCUUCAAAACUAUCUAAACCCUAAACCGCUCCAACUUUAAAUAAACAGUUAUUUCUAUGUUUCUAAAUCUCGUUAACCAACAUGAUCCAAACAUUAUUCAACAUAAGAUUAACCGAAGUAGAUGCAUCUUGAAUCUUGAAAUGUUCGAAAUAUGACUCAUGGACAAUAAGAUCGACCGAGCUCACUCCAAACUAGUCGCAACAAAGAUCCAAAUUAACUAAACAACUCUCACAAUGUAAUUAUACAUAUUCUUUUUUAGUCAUGGCAAAGAAAAUAAAUAUUAAAUUAAAUAUUAUUAUCGAAUAAAAUGCAUGCAAAAUUAGGUUAUUUCACUUUUUUUUAUACAAACAUUCUACUUCACAUAUUUUUUCAAUCGUUUAGUGUUCUUGUUCACACAAACAAUAUCCUAAGGACCACACGUCACAACAUAUGAAUUUCCAUUAACUUAACAUUAAUUUUGAUAAAUAUAUGAUGUUGUUACAAAUCAUGUCAAGGUGACAACUGUACCAAAAUUGAUUGCAGGUCCCAAACAAAUACAACACGUGAAAAAAUACCACUAGCAGUGUGGAUUCUUUAGCAGAUAUAUACGUAUAUAUAUACACUGCAAUAAUUUUCUUAAAAAUACAUCGUUAAGAUAAAAUUCUGUUUUCAAUUUUUUAUUAAUAUAAAGUACACACACAAAAUAAAAUAAUAAAUACCAUUAUAAAAUAAAUAAAAAAUAUUGAAAGAUAAAAGUUAGAAAUGUCUGAAUUCGAAAAUGAAAAGAAAUAGAAAACAGAAAACGCAUUGAAUUUAAUAGCUUAUCCGAGGACCACGUUACAUGAUUAUAUUUUUAUAAUUUCUAUAAUUUCAUUUUAUUUUUUAACGUAUUUCACAAUUUGUAAUAAAUAAUUAUAAAAUUGAAAGAAUUAGUGUUAUGACAAUAUCAUAUAUAAGUGUAUGCAAUCCUCAACCUCAAGAGCAGUAGAAUGUUUGGGACAAGUAUUCAAUCCUCUUGAUUUGUAUGGAAAAAAAAAUAACCCAAUUUUGCAUGCAUUUUAUAUGUAUUUGUUAAAGUUGAUUUUUGGUAAAUACUUAAUAUGUAUUUGUUUUGUUGUAGUGAUUAAAUCUUGCUGUAUACAAAGUUAACGGGUGAUACAAUAUCAGAAAUAGCUCUGCAAUUUUUAUUUUUUUUAAAUCUACAUGUUAUUCAAAUAAAUAUAAUAAUAUUUGCUUAAUACAAUAAAUAUAGUACUAAAAAUAAAUGAAAAAACUCUAAACAUACUCACAUGUGUAUUCUAGAAAUUACAUAGGCAGAUUUACUAGUAUUCUAAUUACAACAUGUAUGAUAUUAAUUAAUACUCUGAUAGUUAAAAACAACCAGAAUAAUAAAGUAUAGAUGAAAAAAUUAAAACUCAAAAUGGACUUAUGCAUGCAUACCAAUUUAUACAACAUACACAUGUCAAUAAUAAAGUUAUUAUGUUAAGUAAGUAAUAUUGCAAAUUAAAAUAUCCUAUGAUAGUGCUAAACUUAUCCAGUUUAUGUGACGAGGCAAAGAAAUUUGUAUUUUUUUAAUUUGAGUUUAUUAAUCGAAAAAUGAUUUAUAGAUCAUAUUUAUUUUCAUUAAGACGCAUGAAUUCAUAAUAUAUAAAUAAUUAUUAGUUUAGCUGGUGUUAAACUAGAAUUAAUGUUAAUUAAUAAAUAAUAAAUUAAAUAAAUAUAAAUAAUAAAAUCAAACAAUAUUAGCAUCAAUUAAAUCGAAUAAUUUUAUUUAUUUUUAAAAAUAAUUUAAAUUAAUUUUAACAAAUUCAUCAUUGACAUUAACAUAAAAGAAUUUACAUUUUUAACUUUAAAAGGUUAAUCUUUUACACUAUAAUAAAAUUAUUAAAUAACAUUUAAUUUUUUUUAAAUAAUUAAUUAUUAUAUUGAUUAAGUUAAAUAUUAUUUUAUAAAUUAAAAAAUAUUAGUAUUUUAAAAAAAUAUUAUUAAAUAAAAUUUAUAAACUAAUUUUAAAUUACUAUCUCACACUUAAUCUUUUAACUAUUAAUUAUUUUAUAUUCUCAACUAAUCUUUAUAAUAACUAAGAUAUUAUAUUGUAUUAAAGUUAAUUUAGUCAAUAUUUAAUAAUGUUACAAUAUUGAGUGACACAAUUAUUUAGAAUUUAAUUCGAUAAUUUUUAUAAUAAAUUAUCAUAAUUUUAGUAAAAAAUAAAAAAAGAUUGAAAAAAAAAUUAUGUUUAACAUAAAUAAUUUUUUAUUUUCAAAAAUAAAAAAAAUUAAAAUUGAAGCACUUAUUUUAUAUGUAAUUAAAACAUAUUUAACCUUAUUAUCAAAAACAACUUUUCGUUUCGUGUACGAAUAUCAUUGAGUAUAUGGAAUCUCAUUCAGCACAAGAUUUAUUUGUGUUACCUGUAAAUGGAAUUUUUUUAUAAGAAUAUUUUAAUGAUGUUUAAAUAUAAUUUUUUUCUAUAUAUAUAUAUUAUGGGAUUUUCUAUUUAGUUCACACAAUUUUAAAAAAAUAUACUUAAAGAUAAUUAUUAUUUUUAUAUAUAAGACAUAUAAUUUUUGUGUUACUACUCUAUUCAAAUCUUAUUUUUCUAUAUUUCUUACAUUAAAUAAACAGAAUAGACAAUUUAAAAUAUAUAUUUAAUUUUUUCAAUAAUUGUAAUAUUUAAUAAUAAGUUAAAUUAUAUAUUUUUUAAAAAAAAUACGAAGAUGACAAUGUGCAUGUUUUCGUCCGUGUAUAUAUAUAAUUAUUGUAUAUUACUAAUUAAAAUAAGUUAUUAUAGUAGGAAUGGAGAAAGAAAGUUGAUGCGAUGACAAAACAGUACACGACAAUGAUUUUAAGUAUUUUUGUUUUAGGUUUGGUCUAACCCCACCCUUUAAUCUUAUCCAGAAGUAAGAGGAAGGACACAUUUCUCACGUGCUUUACUUUACUAAGUUAGAAAUAAGUGUAUUCAUGAUAGUUUCCUGUAUCAAUAGUAAAGGACUUCCCACUCCAUAAUAGUAUAAAUAGGUGUCUUUCAUAGGAAUCUAAUCAUCCACAAAUCAACUCAGAUCUCUCUAUUUAUCUAUACUUUAUCCAUCAUUUUCUACAGUUUGUUAAGAAAAUGUCAAUCCCUCCACCAAAUGAUCCAUCCAGAGGUUCAUCAGAAUUCUCACAGCCUCUCCGAAUGGUAGAUUUUGUUGAAGCUCUAGAAUUGUUAAAUAAUAUCAACCGUGUGAACGUCGUGGAAGGAAACUUGACUGGAAUUGAGUACAGGACAGGUGAUCAAGAAUUAGAUAUUCGUCGUCCUGUAUAUCGUUGGGACAGAAGGCCCUACCAGGAGAUCUUUGAAAAUGGCUUCCAAGCAUGACCUCAAGGACAAACUCCCAACUCCACUUAUUAUGAUUUGCAUCACUUCAUUGAACAUGCAGGAGCCCCUCUUGAUUCCAAUAGGCCUCCAACUACAACACAUGUGUACCACACUCAACAAUGCUUGGCAACCAACACCUUCUAUCGAAGUCCUCCCACCCGGCUCUCAGAUCCAAUUUUAUCAUUAUGAAAUUUAUGCUCCUGGUGGUAUUUGGUAUUUGGGUUGCUCUCAGUCUUAAUAGUUACCCAUAUAUUUCUCAAGCUGAAGUUUGCUUUGUUGGAGGAAUUGCAUCUCAGUACAUUCGAUCUUGUCUCAUAUUCACAGCAACACGUGAAGCCGGAGCAAGGUUAGAUUACAUCUCAUGCUAUAUAAUUUUUAUAAUCAUCUCAUAUAAUCAAUCACUAACUAUAACCUAUUAUAUUGUGCAGGUUUCCGAGAUUACAGAGAGAAACAAGAUUGGUGAUAAACAGAAAUUUUAAUCCAGUGUCAUUUCCUUACCUUGAAGUUGUAGUUCAUAUGCCAGUGUACUACUACAGAGAUGAUAAUGGUGUAAACAGAUACCUACCUGAAGAAACUUAUCCGCCUAGGAGAGAGAAAAGAGAGGUCUUGAGUGCUGAUGAGGAUGCUGCUCUUAAGUGGUAUACUAGUUCAGUUCUAGAGAUACCAAGUUAUAUAAAUUCUGCAUUGCGUUCAUCAAGAACAAAUGAAGUUUAUUUCUUCUUAAAAAAUAAGUAUGUGCGGGUUUAUUACACUCCUGGACAAACAGAUGAUAAGAUUUUGACUGAUUUACGUUGGAUUUAUGAUGGCUUUCCAUCACUUGUUGAUACGCCAUUUGGAGAAUAUGGAAUAGACUGUGUCUUCGACACUGAAGGCAACGAAGCAUAUAUCUUUUGUACCAAACUUUGUGCCUACAUAGACUAUGCUCCAGGUACAAUGAAUGACAAGAUUCUCUCAGGUCCUACCACAAUUGCUGAAAUGUUUCCCGUCCUAAAAAACACAGUGUUUGAGAAUGGCAUAGAUUCUGCAUUCAGGUCAACCAAAGGAAAAGAAGUUUACCUAUUCAAGGGAAAUAAGUAUGGUCGCAUAAUGUAUGAUUCCAAACAGCUUGUUGGCACCAUUCGUAAUAUCACUGAUGGGUUUCCUGUUUUGAAAGGUACCAUCUUUGAAAAUGGAAUUGAUGCUUGUUUUGCUUCUCAUAAGGAGAAUCAAGCUUAUCUUUUCAAGGGAGAAAACUAUGUACGGAUCAUUUUCACCCCAGGCACUACCGAUGACACUCUUGUGGGUGAUGUGAAGUCUAUCUUUAAUGGUUGGCCACUUCUUAGAGGCAUUCUACCUCUCGACAAUAAAGGAGUUGAUGCUCAUCCUCAAUCUGAUCAUGAAGAACCAUAUCCUGAUCAACAUGAUGAGCUUUGAAAAAAAAAUAACAAGAUGCCAUAAUAUGAUAAGAAUAAGGCUUUCAUUGCCAAAGUAUUGCUUCCUUUUCUUUCUUUCUUUCCUAAUGUAAUAAGUGUGGAUGCUUGUGUUUACUUUCUUCUAUGUGGAUAUUUGCUUUCCUUUCUUCAUGUAAUGCUAAUGGUUUAAUAAUAAAAGUGUGCUUUUUGAUUGAAUAAAUUAUUCUAAAUUUGUUUCCUUUAAAAAAUUUACGGAGAUGUUUAUUGGUUGAUUUGAUUCCAGUGUAUUUUUUAAAGGCUAUGUGUAACACCCCAUAAUUUACAUAUAACUAUUACAAUAAAAGUUCUACCAGUUUCUAUACAAACUUGGAGUUUUUCAAAACAUUCCUAAUACAUGAUUAGGAUUUAUAGAAAUACAAAUAUUUACAUAUCCACAGCUCAAAAUAAAACUCUGUAACCUCUAAGGCUCUCCUGCACCUGUAUGGUCAUCUGCUCGUGUACAUAGUACAGUCAUCGCAGUUCAAACACAGCAAGAAAAGCAAGGGUAAGCUACUGAAAAUAGAAUUUUAUAAUAUACACACUUAAAUCCAAAGAGAAAACCAAGUUACAUGAUCAAUUUCUCAAAUUACACAAUCUUCUUCAAAUCCCAACAUUAAAACAAUCACAUAGAUCUCACAUGGAUCUACACAUCCAGAAUAUUCAACAAACAACAUCUUCCGGAAGACCCGUAUUAAGUAAGUCCUACCAGAGACUAACACCUGAUCCAAAGAUUACCAGCGAAUCCAACAAAAAGGAUUAGGGUAAGUUCAAUACAACCCAAGCCGUGCAUCUCAUAUGUCACAGUGUGCAUGAACUCCCCCAUCAGCUUCUCACCACCUGAUAUCUUAGUCUAUGUGACUUAGAUCAUCAGUGAAGCUCGGAGAUCUCUGUUACCACUUAGGCAUCAAUACUUAAUAUACAACAAACAUCAGUCCAUACAUUAUCUCAAAUGUAUGAAUUCAAUUUCAUACCAUUUCGUCAUACAAUAUCAUUCAAAAAGUUAUCCACAAUAUUCAAAAGUUUAUUUGGCAUAAAAAAAUACACUUUAAUACUAAAUCAUCAAAACCCAAUAUUUUCACAAAUUUAAAUAAUAUAUAAACAAACAACCCAAUAUAAAUAAACACACAACAUCCCUGCAAGAGAAAUUGAAUAUUGGGACCACGUCCCUUCCGCAUUCAGGUCUUCUAUCCUAGGGUGCUAUUAAAAAAUAAAUUUAGCUUCCCUUACCUCAAUUGCUUGCUUUCCAAGCAACUUUUAGAAUUUUAUUCCCCACCGUUUGGAUAAGCUUCAAGAUUUACGGGCCUAAUGCAAAUUAUCCAAACAGAACAAAAUUUCAGUAUAUAAUAGAAUAAGUUGAGAGGAUUAAACUUCUCAACUGACCCCAUCAAAAUUGAUGACUAAAUCCUAAGGAAAAACAGUGAACACAGGAUAUUUAGAGUAAAAAUGAACUUACUCUGUUUGAAAAUCUGAUCGGGUAGAAAUGUUCCUUAACUCCUCUGCUACAGCGUGGUAUGAUCAGAUUCUAAAAUAGAUGAAGAUUGAGAGAGAAAUUAAGAGAGAGGGAGAGAAGAGAAUUGGAGAGAGAGAGAAAGUGGUUUGGAAGAAUGAAGAAGAAAGUGAUAGUGGGCACACUGUUUCUGCUUUAUAUAAAGAAAGUGUCGUUACACUAUGAUACGUAAACUCAAGUAAAAAUGAUAUAAAGAAGAAAAGAAAAAUAAAUCCAAUAAAAUUAUUGAGGACUAUGUGAAUUUCAUAAAGUAUAAUCUAUUUUUUUAUUGUCAAUAAAUAAAUAAAUUAAAAAAAAUAUUUUAGAAGUGUUAUAAACUUUAUAAAAAUAUCAACAACCUCAUCAUCUUGUUUACGAAUUUAGAAAAAUAUUACAAAUAUCAAUAAUAAGCAAACAAAACCAAUACGAGACCUAGGCUUCCUGCAAAAUUAUGCAGAAAACCUUGCAUAAGUAUCCUUUUGAUGAAGCACAAUCUAUAUGUGAAACAAAAAGAAUGUUCAUAUGUUAAAAACCCCACAACAUAUUAUAAUUAUUAGAAUAAAAAAAUAAUUUAAAAUAAAAUUAUUAGAAUUAGGUGAGUAUCCAAUUUGUACACUUUGAUUUCAAAUGUUAUAUUUAAACAAAAUCAAGUUUGAAAAACUAUACUAAUGACGAUAAUUUAAAAUACAUAAAAUCAAAGAAAUACAAUAAUAUUUAGAGGUGGUGGUGAAAAUUAUCGUCCAUGAUAAUGAACAACAAAAACAACUAUAUAAAAAAUUGUCAUCUAUAUAAAAAUAAAAAUUACAACUUUAAUCACAUCUAAAUUAAAAAAUAAAUUAACGACAAUUAAUAGACAAUAUAUUGAAAAUGAUCACUCUAAAGAUUCUAAAAAUUAUCGUCUAAACACCUUUGUCUCACAAUGAUUAUACAUAUUCUUUUUAGUCAUGGCAAAGAAAAUAAAUAUUAAAUUAAUUAUUAAGAUAUUUAUGUAGGACUAUUAUCGAAUAAAAGGCAUGCAAAAUUGGGUUAUUUCACUUUUUUUAACACAAACAUUCUACUUCACAUAUUUUUUCAAUCGUUUAGUGUUCUUGUUCACACAAAAAAUAUCCUAAGGACCACACGUCACAACAUAUGAAUUUCCAUUAACUUAACAUUAAUUUUGAUAAAUAUAUGAUGUUGUUACAAACCAUGUCAAGGUGACAAUUGUACCAAAAUUGAUUGCAGGUCCCAAACAAAUACAACACGUGAAAAAAUACCACUAGCAGUGUGGAUUCUUUAGCAGAUAUAUACGUAUAUAUAUACACUGCAAUAAUUUUCUUAAAAAUACAUCGUUAAGAUAAAAUUCUGUUUUCAAUUUUCUAUUAAUAUAAAGUAUACACACAAAAUAAAAUAAUAAAUACCAUUAUAAAAUAUAAAAAAAUAUUGAAAGAUAAAAGUUAGAAAUGUCUGAAUUCGAAAAUGAAAAGAAAUAGAAAACAGAAAACGUAUUGAAUUUGAUAGCUUAUCCGAGGACCACACGUUACAUGAUUAUCUUUUUGUAAUUUCUAUAAUUUCAUUUUAUCUUUUUAACGUAUUUCAUUUUAUAAAUUCUAGAGUUGAUAAUUAAACUUUUGAUAAUUAAUUAUAUAUCAAUUUUAAAAUAUUUAUCAAUAAUAAUAAAAACUAAUUUAAAUACUAAUAAUUUUUUAAUAUUUAAAAUAAUAUUUAAUUUACACAAUAUAAUAAAUAAUUAUUUUUAAAAUAAAAUAAAAUUAAUUUUUAUUUAAUAAUUUUUUUAGUAAUAAUCUUUAUAAAAGUUCAAAACUGAAAUUUAGCUAAUUGAAGAAGUUAUAAAAGUUCAAACCUGAAAUUAAUUAUUUGAUUAAAUUAGAAACUAUUUUAUAAAUUAAAAAAAUAUUAAUAUUUAAAAUAAUUUUUAUUAUCAAUAAAAAAAUAUAAUUUUUUAAAACUGAUAUCUAAUUAUUAAUUAUUAAAAUUUUAAUAUAUUUUAAAUUAAUUAUUUUUAGUGUUUUAAAAAUUAAUUUAGAAUUUAAAGUAUUUCUUAGUAAAUAAAAUCUUGAUAACUAAUUUAAAUACUAAUUUAUAAAAUUUUAUUAAUAAAAAACACUUUAUAUAUUAAUAACUUUUUAUUUCUAAAAUAAUAUAUAAUUUAAAGUUAAUACAAUUUUUAUUUUUAAAUUUAAUUAAUAUUUAAUAAUCUUUUAGUGUGAUAUGCAGGCAUAAGUCCAUUUUAUAUAUAUUUUUAUCCUAUAUUAUAUUUGCAUAGCAUAAAUGUCAUCAAAGUAUAACAUUUAUAAUACUAAUUAAUACUCUCGUAGUUAAAAACAGCCUCGUAAAAAAGAGAAAGAAAAAAAAUUCUCUGUUUAAAAAUAAAUAUAAUAGUUACAAAUGAUAUUGUUUAAUUGUUUCCUAUAUCUAAGAACAUAGUUUUUGUUUCCAAUUUUAGUAAUUAUUUUACUAAAAUUAUCAUAAUAAAAAAAUAUCAAUUAGAAUUAGCUUCUAAAUAAUAGCAUAAAAAAUGUAACAUUAUUAAAACCCACUAAGUAAACUUUAACAUGACCUAAAAGAUUAACUUUUUGUGUAAAAAUGUAAAAUUAUUUUUAAAUAUAUUGUUUUGUGUUAAAAAUGUAAAAUUAUUUUUAAAUAUAAUUUUAUAUUAUGUAAAGUGUGUGUAUUGGUUAAGUUGAUGCUUAAUAUGAUAAUAUAGUCAACCUAACUAAUUAUGAGUUGAGGUUAAUUUUUUUUAAAUAUGUAAAAACAUUUGUGUUAAUGUGUAAUAAAUUAAUUAACAUUAACUCAAAUAAAUAUUAAAAUGUAUUUAAUUCCAUAUGGUUUAAUUAACAUUAAAUUAAAUAACUUUUAUAAAGUAAAAAACAUAUGGACGUCAAUUUAGCUAAUAUUAAAUUAUUUUAAUUAAAAAUUAAUGUUAGAGUUUACUUAACUAACACUAAUUAGAAUUGUAAAAAUUGACACUAAUGAACUAGUAUUCAUAGUUUUAGAGCCUGUUACAUAUAUAAUAUAAAUUUAUCACUAUUAAUUAAUUAAUCCUAAUUUUUACUUGUUAGAAUCGAUUUUUAGUGAAGUUAAAUUUAUAUUUUCUUAUAGUGAUUUGAGUUAUAUAAAAAAAAAUGAAAUCAACUUCUUCAAUUAGAUAUAUUUUGGGGUUUGAACUUUCACAAAGAUUAUAUUUUCUAAUUUGGUAUAAAGUGUGUUUAGUUUAGGAUGUAUCUUGAAAUUUUUGUAGGUGAAUUUCUGAUAUAAUAAUUAUGAACUUUUAAUUUUAUUUUCAAUCUAAUAAUAAAUCUCAUGGCUUCUUCAAGAUUAGGAUUGCAAGUUAUGUUACAAAGAGUACUUUAUUCUUCAAGAUUGUAAAUUAUGUCACAAAGGAGUAAAUACAUGCUUGUGUAGACUAGCCUUAAGGAAUUGGAAAGUUAGGUCUCAUUCCUUCCAAUAAGACUCAUACAAGAAUACGAAAUGGUUAAGUCUUGUUUGAUUAGUACUCAUCAUUUUCCAAUAAAGAUCCUAGUUAGUGCAAACUAAUCUAAGUAUCCAAACUACAUAUAUUAUUUUUGGUAGAGUAAAUUUAUUUGGAUUUUUCAAAUCCAUUUAAAACAAACUAAAUUUAUAUUAAAUCUACUUUAUCAAUUAGAUUCAAUUUUUUAUGGGACUGACUUGACGUGGGUCAACUCAACCCAACCUUGGUAGACUUGACUCGACCUACCUUAAGUCGACUCAGCUCGACAUGAUCUACCUGGUCCGAGCUGACUAAGCUCGAAUCGGGCCCAAGCCGACUCGGUUCGACCUAGAUCUGACUUGACUUGGCUUGAGUUGGGUUAGACGUGUUGACUUGAACUCGGGCCAACUCGACUCGACCUUGAAUCGCACCGACUUGGCUUUUUCUAAACCUAGGCCAACUCAACUCGACCUGGAUCUGGGCUGACUUGGCUCAACUUGGCCUCGGGCCAACUUGGCACGACAUGGAACAUGUCCGACUAGCCUCGAACUAGGCUUAUGCGCAGACUGACUUGGAAGCAGGUUGAUUUAGCUAGACUUGGGCUCGAGUAGACUCGACUCGACAUGGGACCAUACAUACUUGACUCGACUUGGCUCAACCUGGAUUUGGGCCGACUCGGCUUGGCAAGGGGCCCAUGCCGACUCAUCUUGAAAUGGGUUCAAGUUGACUCGACUUGACCUGGUACCAAGACAACUUGGCUCGACUUGAGCCCAGACUGACUCUGCUCUACAUAAGCCCAUGCUGACUCAACUUGACAUGGGGUCAUGUCGGCUCAGCUCAACUUGGUACUAGGUCGAUUCAAGUUGACUUGGGCCUGAACCAACUCGGUUGAUAGAGGCUCGACACGACUUGGGCCUGAACAGACUCGGUUGGACAGUGUUCGAAUCGACUCGACUCCACCAAGACCUAAGUUGACUCGGCUGGACCUGGACUUGGGUCGAAUCAACUGCACUGGGCCGGACAGGCUUUACCUCAGCAUGCACUGACUCUACUCCACAUGGGCAUGAGCUCACCUGUCUCUACAUGGGUUUGGGUUGACUUAGCUCAAACUGGGUCCAUGCCAUCUCAAGUCAACAUGGGUCCAGGUUGACUCGACUCGAUCCGGGCUGGGGUCGAGACAACUCGACAUGGGUUCGGGUUAACUCGACUCGGCCCGGAUCGACUCGGCUAGACCUGGUCCCGUGUCAUGUUGGCUCGACUUGGACUGGAUCAUUUUGACUCAAUCUAGGCCCAAGUCGACUCAACUAGACUUGGGCUCGAAUCGACUUAGCUCGACUUGAGUCCUGGUUUACUUGACUCAACCUAGGUCCGAAAUGACUCAAAAUCCAUCACAAAAUUCAUUUUGGAUAAUUAAAAAUGUAUUGAAUGUAUAUCUAAUCCAAAUCUAUUUAGAUGAAUUGAAUUUAAAUCCAAAAAAUAAAUUUGAAUUUAAAAUCUAAAAAAUAAAUUUGAAUUUAAAAUAAAUAUAUUUAAAUGGACUUACAAACAAUAAAUUUUUUUUGAAUAAUUAUGAAUUACAAUUUAAUUUUUUUAAAAAGAUAGGUACCUUAUAAAAGAAUGGUUUUAAAGGGAGGUAAAAGAGUGAAUGGUUAUAAAAUUAUACAAUAAAUUGGUACAUUGUAUAUUCAAAUAACAACUUACGUGUUUCAUGCAUUUACAUUGGAUGCACUCAUAUAUCCAUUAAGUACAUGAUAAUAGGUUGUUUUCUAAUUUUAACAUUUUUUUUACUAAAAUUAGCAUAGUUCAUAUUGUAAGAAAAUGAUUAUGAGAUAUUAUGAUAUACUAGAAUUUAGUUUAUGAACACAUGACUAUCUUUAAGGAUGGUAUAUUCAGCUUAGUAAAUAUUGAUUAAAGUUAUAUUAUGGAUAUAUUUACUUAUUAUUUAAUAAAUAAAUAUUAAUCAAUAUUUUUUAUUGAUAGCAAUCAUAUAUUUAUAUUUUUCAUUUGUAACAUUAACAAUGACACUAAAUUUAUUAAAAUAUUAUUUCUCAUUUGUAUAUUUAGAUUUAAUUUUAAUAAAUCAUAGGUACGUAUAAUCUCUUUUAUUUAAUUUUUAAUAUUAAAUAUAAAUAUAUAUAUAUAUAAAUAAUAAAAUAAAAAAUAUGAAUGCAUAUAUAUUAGAGUAUCUGUGUGUUUCCGUAGUAAUUAAUAAUAAAAAAUUAUAAAACUAAAAAAAUUAAAGUUAUGACAAAUUAUAUAUUUAUAAAAAAUAAUGUAAAGUUAAUGGAAAUUCAUAUGUUGUGAAGUGCGGUCACUCGGAUAUGUGAUUUGUAUGAACAAAAAACACUAAACGACAUGAAAAAAAAAUCUUACAUAAAUAUUUUGGUUUGUAUGAAAAAAAAAAAUCCAAUUUUGCAUUCAUUUUAUUCGAUAAUAAUCUUACAUAAAUAUUUUAUCUUUCACUACAAGACAAUCAUGAAAUAAAAACUAAUUUUUAGAUACCAAAAUAAUUAGUUGUAAUAAUAACUAAAUUAGAGACCAUUUUAAAAAUUAAAUAAAAAAUUAGUUUAUAAAUUAGUUUUUAUUAUUGUUAAAUAGUUUCUAAAUUGGUAUCUAAUUACUAACCAAGGUUUUAGAGACCAAAUUUAGAAACUAAAUAAUUGGUAGUUAAAACCUUGGUUGUUAAUUAGAUACCAAUUUAGAAAUUAUUUAACAAUAAUAGAAACUAAUUUAGAAACCCAAUUUUUUUAUUUAGUUUCUAAAAUGGUUUCUAAUUUAGUUAAUAUUGCAAGUAAUUAUUUUUGUUUCUAAAAAUUUGUUUCUAUUUCAUGAUUUUCUUGUAGUGUUUUAACAUAAACAAUCCUACAUAGUUAUAUUAAAAUCCUUUUUUUUCAAUAUUUCUUUCAUUAAAUAAAUACAUAAGACAAUUUAAACCGUAAAUUUUAAAGUCAGUAGCUAAAAUUUUGUUACCUAAUUAAAUACCAAUUUAAAAAUUAUUUAUCAAUAAUAAAAAAUAAUUUAUAUAUUAAUUUUUUAAUAUUUAAAAUAAUAUUUAAUUUAUUCAAUAUAUCAACUAAUUAUUUUUAAUUUUUAAAAUUAAUUUUUAUUUAAUAAUUUUCUCAUAGUGACCCUUUUUAUAAAAUUUCUAAAUUUCUAGAAAUUUAACUAACCGAAGAAGUUGAUUGAAUAAAAAAGAAAAUAGUGUAAAUAACUAACAUCAUUACGAGAAAAUACAGAUUUAGUGUCAAUUAAAAGUCAACUCAACUAAGUAGAAAUAGACAUUAAUUAGUCAAUAACAUUAGAUAUAGGUAUCUAUGUAAUUUAUUAGUGUAUCUAUGUAGUAUAAGUUAAUACUCACUAAUACAAAACAAUGUUUUAAUGACGAUUAAAAGGAUUUUUAUCUAAUAACUGUUAUUAUUUUAGAUAUUAUUUUAGAUGUCGUUAUAAAUUAGUUAUUUAUAAUGACGAUUUUAGAACCGUUCUUAUAAAACUUCAUUAAUUACACGUAUAAAAAAUAUCAUUAUUUUGUUAAAUAAAAGAAAAAAUAUAUUUAUAACAACAAUUUUAAUAAUUUUUUAGUUUAUAAAAUUAUUUUUAAUUUAAUUAAAUAAUAACUAAUUAUUUUAAUUUAUAAAAUUAAUUUUUAUUUAAUUAUUUUAUUACUGUGUUAUUUACUCACUAUUAAAAAUAUUGUUUUAAUAACUACACAGUAGAAAAGUUAAACUAUAAUUAUAAGGUGAUACAAUAGAAUUUUAAAAUGGAUCAAUCUCUUCAAAUAGAUUUACAUCUCAGAAAUAUCACUCUUUUAGCUGCAUUAUUGUAUUAAUAGGUAUUUUACUCCAAAUUGUUAUCACUUGGCUUUUAAUUUAGCGCAUAAAUAAUCAGUGGGAUGUCAUAAAAUGCCAAGAUUAAAAUAAUAUUUUUAUUUUAAAAAGAAUGAAAAUAAGUGAAUUAUGUUUCACAGAAAUAUAAUAUUUUAUUUGAAAAGAACAAAACAAAAUUAAAAUUAAAAUUAAAACACACUUAUUUUAUAUGUGAUGAUAACAUAUUUAACCUUAUUAUCAAAACAACUUUUCGUUUCGUGUACGAAUAUAGCAACCAUCAUUGAGUAUAUGGAAUCACAUACAGCACAAGUUUUAUUUGUGUUACUUCAGCUAGUUUUUUUUUUUUUUAUUGGUGUUUCGUCUAUUUGAUUUGUCUGUAUUUGCUUUAGUGGAAUGUUGGAUGAAGUUUCUGUCAGAUUUUGUUUUGUCAUGUUAUGUCAGUAGCUGCUUUGUUUUUUAGAUGUUUGAAAGAUGUUAUGCGGUUAGACUCGUACCCUUUUGUAUAAUGAUUGAAUCACUAUUGGAGUGGUUCUUGGGUAUAUAUAUUAUUGAUUGCUGAUAAAAAAAAGUCACGAAAAUUUUAAUUUGAUUUAAAAAAUAUUUUAAUGAUGUUUAAAUAUAACUUUUUUCUAUAUAUAUUAUGGAAUUUUAUAUUUAGUUCACACAAUUUAAAAAAAAAUAUAUAUAGUUAAAUAUAAUUAUUAUUUUUAUAUAUAAGACAUAUAAUUUUUUUGUGUUAUUACUCUAUUCAAAUCUUAUUUUUCAAUAUUUCUUACAUUAAAUUAAAUAAACAGAAAAGACAAUUUAAAAUAUAUCUUUUUCAAUGAUGGUAAUAUUUCAUAAUAAGUUAAAUUAUAUAUAUAUAUAUAAUUUUUUUUAAAAAAACGAAAAUGACUAUGUGAAUGUUUUCGUCCGUGUAUAUAUAUAUAUAAUUAUUGUAUAUUAGUAAUUAUUAUGGUAGGAAUGGAGAAAGUUGAUGUGAUGACAAAAGAGUAUACGACAAGGAUUUUAAGUAUUUUUGUUUUAGGUUACCUCUAACCCCACCCUUUAACCUUAUCUAGAAGUAAGACGAAUGACACAUUUUUCACGUGCUUUACUUUAAGCUAGAAAUAAGUGUAUUAAUGGUAGUUUCCAAUAACAAUAGCAAAGAAGUUCCCACUCCAUGAUAGUAUAAAUAGGUGUCUCUCAUAGGAAUCUAACCAUCCUCAAAUCAAAUCAUAUCCCUUUGUAAAGUUUGUUAAGAAAAUGUCAAUCCCUCCACCAAAUGAUCCAUCUAGAGGCUGCUCCUCAGAGUUCUCACAGCCUCUACAGCUACAAGAUUUGGUUGACGCUCAAGAAUUAUUGGAAAAUGUGAACCGUGUGAACGUUGUUGAAGGAAACUUGACAAGAAUUGAGUACAGGAUAGGUGAUCAAGAAUUAGAUAUUCGCCGCCCUGUGUAUCGUUGGGACAGAAGGCCCUACCAUGACAUCUUUGUAAAUGGCUUUCAAGCAUGGCCUCAGGAACAAACUCCCAACUCCACUUACUAUAAUUUACAUCACUUCAUUAAUCAUGCAGGUGCCCCUCUUGAUCCAGAUCGGCCUUUAAAUACAAGACAUGUCUUUGUGAGUACCACUCUCAGUAAUAGUUGGCAACCAAGACCUUCAACUGCAGUCCUCCCACCCGGCUCUCAUAUUCAAUUUUAUCGUUAUGAAAUUUAUGCUCCUGGUGGUAUUUGGGUUGCUGUCACUCUUGGGCAUCAAUACGACCAAUAUGCUUCUCAAGCUGAAGUUUGCUUUGUUGGAGGUAUUGCACCUCAGUACAUUCGAUCUUGUCUCAUAUUCACAGUAACGCGUGAAGCCGGAUCAAGGUUGGAUUACAUCUCAUGCUAUAUUAUUUUUAUAAUCACCUUAUAUCAUCGAUCACUAGCUAUAAGUUAUUAUAUUGUGCAGGUAUCCGAGAUUUCAGAGAGAAAGAAGAUUGGUGAUAAACAGGAAUUUUAAUCCAGUGUCAUCUCCUUACGCUGAAGUUGUAGUUUAUAUGCCGGUGUACUACUACAGAGAUGAAAACGGUGUAAACAGAUACCUACCUGAAGAAACUUAUCCGCCUAGGAGAGAGAAAAGAGAAGCUUUGGAUGCUAACGAGGAUGCUGCUCUUAAGUGGUAUACUAGUUCAGUUUUAGAGAUACCAAGUUAUAUAAAUUCUGCAUUGCGUUCAUCCAGAACAAAUGAAGUUUAUUUCUUCUUAAAAAAUAAGUAUGUGCGGCUGUAUUACACUCCUGGACUGACAAAUGAUAAGAUUUUGGCUGAUUUGCGUUGGAUUGGUGAUGGCUUUCCAUCACUUAUUGAUACGCCAUUUGGAGAAUAUGGAAUAGACUGUGCCUUCGACACUGAAGGCAACGAAGCAUAUAUCUUCUCUACCAAACUUUGUGCCUACAUGGACUAUGCUCCAGGUACACUGAAUGACAAGAUACUCUCAGGUCCUACCACAAUUGCUGAAAUGUUUCCCGUCCUAAAAAACACAGUGUUUGAGAAUGGCAUAGACUCUGCAUUCAGGUCAACCAAAGGAAAAGAUGUUUACUUAUUCAAGGGCAAUAAGUAUGGUAUCAUAGAGUAUGAUUCCAAGCAGCUUGUUGGCACCAUUAGUAACAUCACUGAUGGGUUUCCUGUUCUGAAAGGUACCAUCUUUGAAAAUGGAAUUGAUACGUGUUUCGCUUCUCAUAAAGAGAAUCAAGCUUAUCUUUUCAAGGGAGAAAACUAUAUACGGAUCAAUUUCACCCCAGGUACUACAGAUGACACUCUUGUGGAUGUUGUGAAGCCCAUCCUUAAUGGUUGGCCAAUUCUUAGAGACAUUCUGCCUCUCGACAAUAAAGGAGUUGAUGCCAAUUCUCAGACUGAUCAUCAACAACAAUAUCCUCAACAACAUGAUGACCAUGAUGAGCUUUAAAGAAAAAAGAACAAGAUGUCAUAAUAUGAUAAGAAUAAGGCUUUCAUUGCCAAAGUUUGUUUCCUUUUCUUUCCUAAUGUAAUGUAAUAAGUGUGAUGCUAGUGUUUACUUGUAUUUGGAUAUUUGCUUUCCUUUCUUCAUGUAAUAUUAAUGGUUUAAUAAUAAAAGUGUGCUUUUUGGUUGAAUAAAUGAUUCUAAUUUUUUUUCCUUUAAAAAAUUUACGGAGAUGUUUAUAGGUUGAUUUGAUUCCAGUGUAUUUUUUAAAGGCUAUGAUACGUAAAUCCAAGUAAAAAUGAUAUAAAGAAGAAAAGAAAAAUAAAUCCAAGAAAAUCAUUGAAGACUAUGUGAAUUCCACGAAGGACUAAUAAUAAAAAAAAUGUGGAUAUACGUGUUUCACUAAUACAAAAUAAAGACGACAACUUUAACCAUUGUCUAAAUUAAGAAAAAAAAAUAACGACAAUCUAACGGAUUGAAAAUCAUCACACUGAAAUUCUAAAAUUAGUUAUCUAAAAAUCUUUGUCUCAAUGCAAUCAUACAUUUUUUUUUUCAUGGCAAAGAAAAUAAAUAUUAAAUUAAUUACUAUGAUAUUAUGUAGAACUAUUAUCGAAUAAAACGCAUGCAAAAUUGGGUUAUUUCACUUUUUUUUAUACAAACAUUCUACUUCACAUAUUUUUUCAAUCGUUUGGUGUUCUUGUUCAUACAAACCAUAUCCCAGAGACCACACGUCAAAACAAUUAAACCAUAUCCCAAAGACCACACAAAAACAUAUGAAUUUCUAUUAACAUUAAUUUUGAUAACUAUGAUGUUGAUACAAACCGUAUCAAGGUGACAACUGUACCAAAACUAAUUGCAGGUCCCAAACAAACACAACACGUGAAAAAAUACCAGCAACGGUGUGGAUUCUUUAACACAUAUAUAAAAACUGUAAUAAAUUUCUUAAGAAUACAUCGUUACGAUAAAAUUAUGUUUUCAACUUUUUAUUUAAUUUUUUUAAAAUCAAUUUUAUACUUUCUAUUUCAAUUUUUUUAUUAAUAUAAAGUAUACACACACAAAAAUAAUAAAUAUCAUUAUAAAAUAAAUUAAAAAAAUAAAUCACUUUCGUGUUUAUCAAAAACAACUUCUCACUUCUCUCUCACCUUAUAAGUUACAAUAUUAACGUAUCUCAAGUCUGACUCUCUUCUCUUAUUUUCUUUUCUAAAGGAGACACAACAUUCCAUUUUCACUUUUUUUUCUCUUUCUCUUUACUUCUCUCUUUUUUUUAUGGUACUCUCAUUCUCAAUUUUUUUCAAUUUUUUCUGAUUUUGUUCCAAUUGUUCCAUCUUCUUUACAUGUGUUUCUGUAUAUAGUUUUGUAUUGGUUUACAAGCACGUGAAGUUUGGUCCCUUGGUUGAAUUAAAACGAGUGACUCUUUGUCCAACAUGUUCUCUUCUCCAAUUUCUCUUUGUCCAAGUAUUUUUGUUUUAGGUUACCUCUAACCCCACCCUUUAACCUUAUCUAGAAGUAAGACGAAGGACACAUUUUUCACUUGCUUUACUUUAAGCUAGAAAUAAGUGUAUUAAUGGUAGUUUCCAAUAACAAUAGCAAAGAAGUUCCACUCCAUGAUAGUAUAAAUAGGUGUCUCUCAUAGGAAUCUAACCAUCCUCAAAUCAAAUCAUAUCCCUUUGUAAAGUUUGUUAAGAAAAUGUCAAUCUCUCCACCAAAUGAUCCAUCCAGAGGUUGCUCAUCAGAAUUCUCACAGCCUCUACAGCUACAAGAUUUGGUUGACGCUCAAGAAUUAUUGGAAAAUGUGAACCGUGUGAACGUUGUUGAAGGAAACUUGAGAGGAAUUGAGUACAGGAUAGGUGAUCAAGAAUUAGAUAUUCGUCGCCCUGUGUUUCGUUGGGACACAAGGCCCUAUCAGGACCUCUUUGUAAAUGGCUUCCAAGCAUGGCCUGAGGGACAAACUCCCAACUCCACUUACUAUAAUUUGCUUCACUUCAUUGAACAUGCAGGUGCCCCUCUUGAUCCAAACCCGUCUUCAACUACAAGACAUGUCUUUGUGAGUACCACUCUCAACAAUGCUUGGCAACCAAGACCUUCAACUGCAGUCCUCCCACCCGGCUCUCGUAUUCAAUUUUAUCGUUAUGAAAUUUAUGCUCCUGGUGGUAUUUGGGUUGCUGUCACCCUUGGAGAUCGAUACCAAUAUGUUUCUCAAGCUGAAGUUUGCUUUGUUGGAGGUAUUGCACCUCAGUACAUUCGAGCUUGUCUCAUAUUCACAGCAACACGUGAAGUCGGAUCAAGGUUGGAUUACAUCUCAUGUUAUAUUAUUUUUAUAAUCAUCUUAUAUCAUCCAUCACUAACUACAAGCUAUUAUAUUGUGCAGAUUUCCGAGAUUACAGAGAGAAAUAAGAUUGGUGAUAAACAGGAAUUUUAAUCCAAUGUCAUCUCCUUACGCUGAAGUUGUAGUUUAUAUUCCGGUGUACUGGUACACAGAUGAAAACGGUAAAAACAGAUACCUACCCGAAGAAAUUUAUCCGCCUAUGAGAAAGAAAAGAGAGACCUUGGAUGCUGAUGAGGAUGCUGCUCUUAAGUGGUAUACUAGUUCAGUUUUAGAGAUACCAAGUUAUAUAAAUUCUGCAUUGCGUUCAUCAAGAACAAAUGAAGUUUAUUUCUUCUUAAAAAAUAAGUAUGUGCGGGUGUAUUACACUCCUGGAGAGACAGGUGAUAAGAUUUUGACUGAUUUGCGUUGGAUUUAUGAUGGCUUUCCAUCACUUGUUGAUACGCCAUUUGGAGAAUAUGGAAUAGACUGUGCUUUCGACACUGAAGGCAACGAAGCAUACAUCUUCUGUACCAAACUUUGUGCCUACAUGGACUAUGCUCCAGGUACAACAAAUGACAAGAUUCUCUCAGGUCCUACCACAAUAACUGAAAUGUUUCCCGUCCUAAAAAACACAGUGUUUGAGAAUGGCAUAGACUCUGCAUUCAGGUCAACCCAAGGAAAAGAAGUUUACUUAUUCAAGGGCAAUAAGUAUGGUCGCAUAAAGUAUGAUUCCAAGCAGCUUGUUGGCACCAUUCGUAACAUCACUGAUGGAUUUCCUGUUUUGAAAGGUACCAUCUUUGAAAAUGGAAUUGAUGCGUGUUUCGCUUCUCACAAGGAGAAUCAAGCUUAUCUUUUCAAGGGAGAAAACUAUGUACGAAUCAUCUUCACCCCAGGUACUGCAGAUGACACUCUUGUGGGUAAUGUGAGGCCUAUCUUUGAUGGUUGGCCGCUUCUUAAAGGCAUUCUACCUCUCGACAAUAGAGGAGUUGAUGCUCAUCCUCAGUCUGGUCAGGAAAAACCAUAUCCCGAUCAGCAUGAUGAGCUUUGAAAAAAAAAAGAACAAGAUGCCAUAAUAUGAUAAGAAUAAGGCUUUCAUUGCCAAAGUUUGCUUCCUUUUCUUUCCUAAUGUAAUAAGUAUGGAUGCUUGUGUUUACUUUCUUGUAUGUGGAUAUAUGCUUUCCUUUCUUCUUGUAAUGCUAAUGGUUUAAUAAUAAAAGUGUGCUUUUUGGUUGAAUAAAUGAUUCUAAAUUUUUUCCUUUAAAAAAAUUACGGAGAUGUUUAUAGGUUCAUUUGAUUCCAGUGUAUGUUUUAAAGGCUAUGAUACGUAAACCCAAGUAAAAUGAUGUGAAGAAGAAAAAAAAAAAAUCUAAGAAAAUCAUUGAGGACUAUGUGAAUUCCAUAAAGUAUAAUCUAUUUUUUUUAUUAACAAUAAAUAAAUAUAUUAAAAAAUAUUUUAGAAGUAUCAUAACCCUUAUAAAAAUAUCAACAACCUCAUCAUCUUGUUUACGAAUUUGAAAAAACAUUACAAAUAUCAAUAAUAAAGUAAACAAAACCAAUACAUAUUCUUUUUUAGUCAUGACAAAGAAAAUAAAUAUUAAAUUAAUUAUUAAGAUAUUUAUGUAGGACUAUUAUCGAAUAAAAGGGAUGCAAAAUUGGGUUAUUCCAUUUUUUUAUAUACAAACAUUCUACUUCACAUAUUUUUUCAAUCGUUUAGUGUUCUUGUUCACACAAACAAUAUCCUAAGGACCACACAUCACAACAUAUGAAUUUCCAUUAACUUAACAUUAAUUUUGAUAAAUAUAUGAUGUUCAUACAAACCAUAUCAAUGUAACAACUGUACCAAAAUUGAUUGCAGGUCCCAAACAAAUACAACACGUGAAAAAAUACCACUAGCAGUGUGGAUUCUUUAGCAGAUAUAUACGUAUAUAUAUACACUGCAAUAAUUUUCUUAAAAAUACAUCGUUAAGAUAAAAUUCUGUUUUCAAUUUUUUAUUAAUAUAAAGUAUACACACAAAAUAAAAUAAUAAAUACCAUUAUAAAAUAAAUAAAUAAAUAUUGAAAGAUAAAAGUUAGAAAUGUCUGAAUUCGAAAAUGAAAAGAAAUAGAAAACAGAAAACGUAUUGAAUUUGAUAGCUUAUCCGAGGACCACACGUUACAUGAUUAUCUUUUUGUAAUUUCUAUAAUUUCAUUUUAUCUUUUUAACGUAUUUCACAAUUUGUUUAAUAAUUAUAAUAAAUAAUUAUAAAAUUGAAAGAAUUAAUGUUAUGGCAACAUCAUAUAUUUAUCAAAAUUAAUGUUUAAGUUAAUGGAAAUUCAUAUGCUGUGAUGUGUUGUAACGACUUUAUAAUAUGUGAAGUAGAAUGUUUGGGACCAGUCCUCUAUCUGGUUUGUAUGAAAAAAGAGAGUAAAAUAACCCAAUUUUGCAUGCAUUUUAUUCGAUCAUAAUCCUACUUAAAUAUCUUAUCUUUCAUCAUAAAUAAUCCUACAUAAUUAUAUUCAACUCUUAUUUUUCAAUAUUUCUUACAUUAAGUAAGACAAUUUAAACUAUAAAUUCUAGAGUUGAUAAUUAAACUUUUGAUAAUUAAUUAUAUAUCAAUUUUAAAAUAUUUACCAAACAAAUUGAAUUGUAUAUCUUGUCCUAUAUAAAAUUUAGAGGUUUCUCAAUUGUAUUUUUCCUUUAAUUGUAGUUUGGACACUAUAUCAGCUGCUUAUUAACACUAGCUCCAACUUUUGAUCACCAAAUCCGAAUCAUAACGCGGAGCUGAGUGUCAUGGAAUACGAAUUGCAAUAAAGAACUACCACCAUGUUGGAAAUCUCACAUCGACUAGAGAUAAAGACAUUUCAUAAUAUAUAAAUGGGUGCAAAUCUCACUCCUUCAUUGAGCCGGUUUUAUGAGGUUGAGUUAGGCUUAAAACCCACUUCUUAACAUGGUAUCAGAGCCAUUUCGAACCUAUCCUAUCCUAACGAGUAUUUGUUGGGUUUAUCUGUCCACCCGCUAUCGGGCCGUUACCAGACCACCCAUAACAUAUAUCUCCACGCACGAGUUGGUAGCCUCGGCGUGAGGGGUGGGUUGGAAAUCCCAUAUCGACUAGAUAUAAAGACAUUUCAUAAUAUAUAAAUGGAUGCAAACCUCACUUCCAUGAGCCGGUUUUAUGGAGUUGAGUUAGGCUUAAAGCCCACUUCUUAACACACCAAACCAGAAUAGUUGCACCAUAAACUGACAUUGACUGACAACACCCCUUUGCACCAUCCAGAACAGCAUAGGAUACUUGAAAGGAGCACUAAACCAGACCAUAAACAACACCCCUUUACACAUACCUUCUUUUUAUGCAUAAAAUGGGAUUCAAAUGCCAUUCCGAAUAAGAAAAAGUGAAAGAAACCUUUAUUUCAACCAUAACGAGGAUCUCAGCUGUGCCAUUUGGAAUAUUUCUUCUGCAUCAGAUACUUCUUAGCCACCCAUACACCUUUCCACACUAUAUUCUCUGCUUAGUGCUCAAGUGAAUAAGGCAGAUACUAUGAGUGGAAAUUUCAAGUUUGUUCAUGUUGUGGUAAAUCAAUUGCUAGAAUAUAAUUAUUUCUUUUAAUUUUUUUGUUGCUUGAAUAACUUAAGCCUCAUUUCUUUUCUUCUCAGGAAUCUGAAAUUAAAGAAAUAGAAGAGAAGCAGGUAUAGUCAAUUUGAUUUAGGUCACUACUGCAUAAUUUGAUUUUUUGUGUUAUUAUGCUUUAUCUGUGAUUUACUAGCAGAUAUAUGUGUGUAUAUAUAGAAACUGCAAUAAAUUUCUUAGAAAUACAAGUUAAGAUAAAAUUAUGUUUUCAACUUUCUCUGUUUUUAAUAGUUAUUAAAUUUAGUAUUAGCGUAAUCAAUGCUAAACUUAACUUUUUUUAAUAUUUGUAUUUAAUUUAAAUCAGUAUCGGUUAACGUUAAUAUUAUUUAUUGUUAAUAUUUAUUUAAAUUAACAUAAUCUAACUGAAGUUACUCUAACAUUUUAAUAUUUAUAUAAAAAUUUGAAUCGACUGAUACGAUGUGUGAUUUUAUGCAGGUUUUGUACUGUUGUCUUGUGAGUAUCGUUUCUGUGCUGGUAUGGUUGAGAAGGGAUUGCUUCUUUUUGCAGGUUCUACAAGUGGAGAAAGUAAGAGAGAAAUAAUGAGGCAAGAAAGCAAAGCACAUCAAUGAACAAGAUUGGAACAUAUGAAUCAAUGAUGACAAGAAGUGCUUAGCAGAUUAGUUUAAAAUACACACAUAUCUGUUAAACCAAACCACACAACCACACACUUUUUAUUUAUAAUAUGAAAAUAGGAAAGACAAACAUGCAGAGUUGCUACAUUAGGAAAAGGAAAGAGGCUUUCAAUCCUAAUGUUACAUUAAAGAGACAGAAACAAACGUUUGCAAUGACAGCCUUAUUUCUAGCAUAUUAUCAGAUCAUGCUUUUUGAUGGAGAGUGAAGCCUUCUUUAGCUGAUAGGCAAAAUGCCUCUAAGACAUGUCCAACCAUCAAGGAUAGGCCUCACUUCACCCACAAUACGGUCACCACUUGUACCUGGAGUGAAUUUGAUACGAACAUAUUUCUCUCCUUUGAAAAGGUAAGCUUCAGACUCCUUAUGGGAACAAAAACACGCAUCAAUUCCACUUUCAAAGAUCGUACCUCUCAGAAUAGUAAACCCAUCAGCGAUGUUACGAAUGCUGCCAAUAAGCUGCUUGGAAUCAUAGUCUAUGCGAGUAUACUUAUUGCCCUUGAAUAAGUAAACCUCUUUCCCUUUGGUUGAUCUGAAUGCAGAGUCUAUGCCAUUCUCAAACACUGUGUUUGAGGACGGGAAACAUUUGAGCAAUUGUGGUAGGACCUGAGAGAAUCUUGUCAUUUGUUGUGCCUGGAGCAUAGUCUAUGUAGACACAGUAUUUGGUUGAGAACACAUAUGCUUUACUCUCUUCGGUGUCAAAGGAACAGUCUAUUCCAGGUUCUGCAAAGAACGAUGCAGUAAGUGAUGGAAAACCACUACUAAUCAAACGCAGAUUAGUCAAAAUCUUAUCAUCUGAUUUUCCUGGAGUGUAAUACAGCCGCACAUACUUAUCCUUCAUGAAGAAAUAGACUUCAUAUUCUCUUGAUGAACGAAAUGCAGCAUUGAUGUAAGCCAUCUUUCUUAACACAAGAGAGAGAUAUAUGAUUUGAUUUGAGGAUGCUUACAUUCCUCCCAGAGGCACCUAUUUAUACUGUUAUGGAGUUGGAACUUCUUUACUAUUGGUAAUGGAAAGGAAAUCAUAAAGAUUCUAUGACAACAUAAAAAAAUAUAAAAAAAAGAAUUCGCAUUAUUGGUGCAGCAUGUCCUCUCUGUUUUUUUAUUCUCUUAUUUAUGCAUGUGCUGUUUGCCAUUAAACAUAAACAAAUGUUACUAUCAUAGAAUAUUUACACUGUUACCUCAGUUUCAAUACAUAGAUUACUGUGUUAUUUAAACCAUGUGCUGUUUGUAUAAACUCGAUAAGUUUAGCACUAUCAUAGGAUAUUUUGAUUUGCAAUAUAUAAAUAUAUAUGUUAAUUUAAAAGAUGAGUGUUUAACAGACAAUUUAAAAUUACUUUAAAUGGUUAUAAAAUUAUAAAAGAGACUGGUAUACGUAAACUCAAUAAACAAUUCAAUUAUGUGUUCCAUUCCAUAUGAUAUCUUAAUUAAUUAAUGAUGUGUAAUCAAUUAUAUUCAUGAGAAUAAUAUUCUAAUAUGUGUUUUUAGGAGGCAAUAGUACAUAUUUUCACGUGGAUCAGAUAAUUUUGUUUAAUUGGUCGUGGAUCUCAAAACCUGAGCAAAGAACACAAACCACAAGGUGGCCUAUUACUUUAAAAUUAUUUGUAUGAAUAAUACUUCAUAAUUGACACGAGUAUUAAACAAAAUUAUUAAAUAAAAAACAAUUUUAAAGAUUAAAAUAAUUAAUUAAUUGAUUAAAUUAGAAACUAUUUUAUAAAUUAAAAACGUUAAUAUUUAAAAUAAUUUUUAUUAUCAAUAAAAAAAUAUAAUUUAAAAAAAAAAACUGAUAUCUAAUUAUUAAUUAUUAAAAUUUUAACAUAUUUUAAAUUAAUUAUUUUUAGUGUUUUAAAAAUUAAUUUAUAAUUUAAAUUAUUUCUUAGUAAAUAAAAUCUUCAUAACUAAUUUAAAUACUAGUUUAUAAAAUUUUAUUAAUAAAAAACACUUUAUAUAUUAAUAACUUUUUAUUUCUAAAAUAAUAUAUAAUUUAAAGUUAAUACAAUUUUUAUAUUUAAAUUUAAAUAUUAUUUAAUAAUCUUUUAGUGUGAUAUGCAGGCAUAAGUCCAUUUUAUAUAUAUUUUUAUCCUAUAUUAUAUUUGCAUAACAUAAAUGUCAUCAAAGUAUAACAUUUAUGAUACUAAUUAAUACUCUCGUAGUUAUAAACAGCCUCGUAAAAAAGAGAAAGAACAAAAUUCUCUGUUUAAAAACAAAUAUAAUAGUUACAAAUGAUAUUGUUUAAUUGUUUCCUAUAUCUAAGAACAUAGUUUUUUUUCCAAUUUUAGUAAUUAUUUUACUAAAAUUAUCAUAGUAAAAAAUAUCAAUUAGAAUUAGCUUCUAAAUAAUAGCAUAAAAAAUGUAACAUUAUUAAAACCCACUAAGUAAACUUUAACAUGAUCUAAAAGAUUAACUUUUUUUGUGUAAAAAUGUAAAAUUAUUUUUAAAUAUAUUGUUUUGUGUUAAAAAUGUAAAAUUAUUUUUAAAUAUAAUUUUAUAUUAUGUAAAGUGUGUGUAUUGGUUAAGUUGAUGCUUAAUAUGAUAAUAUAGUCAACCUAACUAAUUAUGAGUUGAGGUUAAUUUUUUAAAAUUUGUAAAAAUAUUUUUGUUAAUGUCAAAUUAGUAAUAAAUUAAUUAACAUUCACUCAAAUAAAUAUUAAAAACAAAUUAAUAUUAAAAAUGUAUUUAAUUUAAUAUCGGUUAAAUUAACAUUAAAUUAAAUAACUUUUAUAAAGUAAAAAACAGAUGGACGUCAAUUUAGCUAACAUUAAACUAUUUUAAUUAAAAAUUAAUUUAAAAAUGAAUGUUAGAGUUUACUUAACUAGCACUAAUUAGAAUUGUAAAACUUGACACUAAUGAACUAGUAUUCAUAGUUUUAGAGCCUGUUACAUAUAUAAUAUAAAUUUAUCACUAUUAAUUAAUUAAUCCUAAUUUUUACUUGUUAGAAUCGAUUUUUAGUGAAGUUAAAUUUAUAUUUUCUUAUAGUGAUUUGAGUUAUAUAUAAAAAAAAUGAAAUCAACUUCUUCAAUUAGAUAUAUUUUGGGGUUUGAAUUUUAACAAACAUUAUAUUUUCUAAUUUGGUAUAAAGUGUGUUUAGUUUAGGAUGUAUCUUGAAAUUUUUGUAGGUGAAUUUAUGAUAUAAUAAUUAUGAACUUUUAAUUUUAUUUUUAAUCUAACAAUAAAUCUCAUGGCUUCUUUAUUCAGGAUUGCAAGUUAUAUUACAAAGAGUACUUUAUUUUUCAAGAUUGUAAGUUAUGUCACAAAGUAAUAAAUACAUGCUUAUGUAGACUAGCCUUAAGGAAAUGGAAAGUUAGGUCUCAUUCCUUCCAAACAAGACUCAUACAAGAAUACGAAAUGGUUAAAUCUGGUUUAGGAUUUAGGGUUUAGGAUUUAGAGAAAUGGUUAAGUCUGGUUUGAUUAGUACUCAUGAUUUUCCAAUAAAGAUCCUAGUUAGUGCAAACUAAUCUAAGUAUCCAAACUACAUAUGUUCAAUUUCUAUAUUUUUUUUUUAAAUCCAUCAAAAUUCAAUCCAGAUGUAAUAAAAUAGAUUGAAUCUAAAAUCCAUAUUAUUUUUGGUAGAGUAAAUUUAUUUGGAUUUUUCAAAUCCAUUUAAAACACACUAAAUUUAGAUCUACUUUGUCAAUUAGAUUAAAUUUUUUAUGAGAUCGACCUGGCGUGGUCAACUCAAUCCAACCUUGGUAGACUUGACUCGACCUACCUUAGGUCGACUCAGCUUGACAUAACCUAACCCAACUCAAUUCGACCUGGCCCCAUAUCGACUUGGCUUAGCCUGGUCCAAGCUGAUUAAGCUCGAAUCGGGCCCAAGCCGACUCGGAUCGACCUAGAUCUGACUUGACUUGGCUCGAGUUGGGCCAAACGUGUUGACCUGAACUCAGGCCGACUCGACUCGACCUUGAAUCGCACCGACUUGGCUUUUCCUAAACCUGGGCCAACUCAGCUCGACCUGGAUCUGGGUUGACUUGGCUCAACUUGGCCUCGGGUCGACUUGGCACGACAUGGAACAUGUUCGACUAGCCUCGAACUAGGCCUAUGCCCAGGCUGACUUGGAACUAGGUUGAUUUAGCUAGACUUGGGCUUGGGCAGACUCAACUCGACAUGGGACCAUACAAACUUGACUCGACCUGGGCCUGAACCGACUUGGCUCAAACCUGGAUUUGGGCAAACUCGGCUCGUCAUGGGGCCUAAGCCGACUCAUCUUGAAAUGGGUUCAAGUUGACUCGACUUGACCUGGUACCAAGACAACUUGGCUCGACUUGAUCCCAGAAUGACUCUGCUCUACAUAAGCCCAUGCUGACUCAACUCGACAUGGGGUCAUGUUGACUCAGCUCAACUUGGUACUAGGUCGAUUCAAGUUGACUUGGGCCUGAACCAACUCGGUUGAUAGAGGCUCGACUCGACUUGACUCAACAUGGGCCAAGACUAACUUGGCUCGACUUGGGCCUAAACAGACUCGGAUGGACAUGUGUUCGAAUCGACUCGACUCCACCAGGACCUAAGUUGACUCAACUGGACCUGGACCUGGACCUGGACCUGGGUCGAAUCAACUGCACUGGGUCAGAUAGGCUUUACCUCAACAUGCAUUGACUCUACUCCACAUGGGCAUGAACCCACCCAUCUCUAUCUGGGUCCAUGCCAUCUCAGCUCGACAUGGGUACGGGUUGACUCGACUCGAUUCAGGCUGGGGUUGAGACAGCUCGACUCGGGCCCGGAUCGACUCGGCUAGACCUGGUCCCGUGUCAUGUUGGCUCGACUUAGACUGGAUCGAUUUGACUCGAUCUAGACCAAAGUCGACUUGACUCUCAAAUCAACUUAGCUCGACUUGAGUCCUGGUUUACUACUCAACCUAGGUUCGAAAUGACUCAAAAUCCAUCACAAAAAUCAUUUUGGAUAAUUAAAAAUGUAUUCAAUGUAUAUCUAAUACAAAUCUAUUUAAAUGAAUUGAAUUUAAAUCCAAAAAAUAUAUUUGAAUUUAAAAUCUAAAAAAUAAUUUUGGAUUUAAAAUAAAUAUAUUUAAAUGGACCUAUAAAAAAUAUUUUUUUUGAAUAAUUAUGAAUUACAAUUUAAAUUUUUUACUCACCCUAAAUUAUAAAAAGUAUUUAAAAAUAUGUUUUUAAUUUCCUUUUCUAUUUUUUCUUGUAUAUUUUUCUAUGUAUCUUUUUAUAUAGCAUUAAAAUUGUAUUUUAAAUUAUUUUUCUAUUUAUUUUAGCCAUGUAAUAUCUGUCGUAGUGAGAUAGGUAGUGAAAAAAUGAUUUUAAAGAGAUAAGUACUUUAUAAAAGAACGGUUUUAAAGUGAGGUAAAAUAGUGAAUGGUUAUACAAUUAUACAACAAAUUGGUACAUUGAAUAUUAAAUAACAACUUAUGCGUUUUACAUUGGAUGCACUAAUAUAUUCACUAAGUACAAGAAAAUAGAUUUAGUUCAUAUGGUAAAAAAAGAUUAUGAGAUAUUAUGAUAUACUAGAAUUUAGUUUAUGAACACAUGACUAUCUCUAAUAUGGUAAAAAAAGAUUAUGAGAUAUUAUGAUAUACUAGAAUUUAGUUUAUGAACACAUGACUAUCUCUAAUAACCGAUGGCAUGGAUUAACGUUAUAUUAUAGAUAUUUUUACUUAUAUUUAAUAAAUAAAUAUUAAUCAAUAUCUUUUAAUAAAACUUAUCAAUAAUAUUGAUAAAUCUAAAAUUUAUUGUAAUAAUAGCAUAAAAAAACAUAAAUUCUAACUUAAAAAACAUGGUGAUAAAUCUAAAAUUUAUUGUAAUAAUAGCAUAAAAAAACAUAAAUUCUAACUUAAAAAACAUGGUGAUGGAUUAUUCAAGAAGUUUAUAAACGUCUCUUCCAAAAUUAAAUUAGUAGAUCUAGGAGUUUUGUAAUACACUAUAAAUAAGAUAAUUAAAUGAAAAUUCAAUGAAGGAAUCAUUUAAACAAUAUGAAAACAUACAUAUCAUUUUCUACUACCAUGUCAUGCAAAUGACAUGAACAUUUAACCAACAAUUGAAUUUAUUUAAUCAAAUAUUUAAACUUGGUUAACUGCUAUUUUUUUUUUUCACAUGCACAAAAUUGUUACUUCACGUAUGUAAUAGUUGGGUUAGUCAUAAUUAUUGAAAUUUCACAAAGCCUACCUAGGAUAAUGUUUGAAUGUGUUGCAUGAUUUAACCAGAAACACGUACUAGUUUAAUCAAAGUAUUUUAUUCUACACAAAAAUAAUAAAUAAAUUUCAUAAUCUCACUAUAACCAUGUCUACAAUAACAAGAAACAUAAAUAAAAAAGCUUUAAUCAAAGAUAAAUUAAAAAGUAAUCACUAUAACCAUGUCCACAAUUAAAAAUAUAAAGAAUUUCAACUUAUUUCUUUAUAAUUAAAAUUUAACUGUAUUUAAUUAAAAAAAUCCAAUUAAUCUCAUAAAAAUCUAAAAUUUAAAAUUUACUAAAAAAAUUCUGACCCUAAAAACCAAACAAGAUAUUUUUGGAUAGUUAUUUUAAAUUUUUAGAAAAAUAAAUUACCAACUUAAAAAUUUCUAUCAAAAAGAGACUAGUAAGGUUUGUUCAGUUAAAAACUUUUUGGGGUUUUGAAAAUAAGAAUAAAAUUUCAUUGGAACUUUAAUUAAUUAGUUAUGUUAAGAAUUUAAUUUAUAGCACCCUCGCAAAUUUGAUGAUUGUGAUAAUCUUCAGAGUUUAAUAUGAUGGUUCCAAAAAAGUUGAAAUCUAUUUUACUUAUUGUUAUAUACACUUGACAAUCAAUUUCAAGAUUUAAUAUGGUAAUUAGAAAAUUUUCAAGUUUAUUUUUUUAUAUUGAAGUUUCAUUACAAGUAUCCACAAUUAUGAAAACAACUCUUAAAGUCUAAUUUCUUAGUUAAGAAAAGCUGAAGUCUCUUUUUUACUUAUAUAUUACAUGAAAGAGAUUUUAAUUAAUCUUACAAUUAUAAUUAAUAUGCUGUAAAAUAUUUUCAAAAACUAUAAAGUUUACAUACAUACAUAACUUUCUUAAAAUUCAAAUAAAAUAUAAAUAUUUAAUUUAAAUAAAUUCUUGCACGAAUUUAAAUCUAGUAAAUUGUGAACAUAUAUUUUUACUAAUUCGAUUUUAAAAAUAUAGAUAAUAAUUAUAAAAUCUAGUAAAUUAUGGGCCUUAAAAUUUUAAAGAGUCUUACGGGCCUCCACCAGAACCCAUUUUUGUUUUUUUCUAAAUUACGACACAAAAGUUUGGGGUUUUGGCCCAUUCAUCACAGCCCAUGUUCCUUUCUUUAUAAUUGCAUAACAUUGGGGGUGCAGGAAUAGAAAACGUAGGGCUGCAGGAAGAAAUUAUCUCUUUAACCACACAAACGUAUGUGCUUUUGGCCCAUUUAUCACAGCACAUGUUCCUUUCUUUAUAAUUGCAAUUUCAACAAAACCCUAACUUCAAACCUUCACUCCUCCUUUCAUCACUUCGGCAGUCACAGAACCUCUUAGCCGAAAAUGGUGAGUUUCACCAACCCUUUUACAUUUUCUAUCUACCUUACGAUUUUUCUGCAUCUGGGUUUUCUGGUUUUAAUGAAAAAAUUGUUUCUUUGUUUUCUUUUCUGAUCUGUGUUGCAGCCUUUCAAGAGGUACGUUGAGAUUGGAAGGGUGGCUCAGGUCAACUACGGCAAAGAGUAUGGGAGGCUAGUAGUCAUUGUCGAUGUUAUUGACCAGAACAGAGUAUGUUCUUUUGUUUUGCCUUCUUUGAUUUGUUGCAUUUUCGUUGGAUUGGAUUUUUGUAGUGCGUGCCCUAUUCUUUGUCUUGGUUUCUUGUGAGGUUUGGGAGUAGAAAAAGCCUAAUUUAUGAUCUUGGUGUUGAUAAAUUUCUACAUGAAUUUCGUUGCCGCAUAAUUUGUUCUGAACAGUAGUUUUAGGUUUUAGAUUUUUUAUUUUGUUGAGGAUGUUGGUUUUGCUUAGUUUUAUGUUAAUUGAAUCUCAAGGUUUUCUCUAUUUGUGCAUUAGAACAAUUUGAUAAUGCCAAAUUCCAUUGAAGGGGUUAUAGUCGUUUACCAUGUUUGUUUGAUGAUGGUUUGUUUUAUUUUUUUCUCUUUUGUGAAGCCUAUAUUUUUUUCCUCAUUGUAUUUAAACAGGGUCAUAUCCCUUUAGGCUUUGUUGUAUAUUUGUAUUUUUUCAGCAUGAACUAAAUUUGGCUCUUUUUAUCGAUUUGGUUUGUGGGAAUAUAUAAUAUCAAGUUCGUAUUAAGAGGAGUUAGAACUGUCAAUCCCACUGAGAACUUCAAUGAGCGGAUUUUGUUUUUCCUAUUUGGCGAAGUCAUUGGCUUUUUUAGAUGCAUUUUAAUUGAAUCAUAUAUGCUUUGUUUGUAUACUUGUGUUUUUGCUCGGUCAACAAAAUGAAAAAUUAUGCUAUUUUUUUUGGGGGUUUUGUUAUUAACGUGGCAUGCAAUAGAAUCAAAUUGCAUUAAGAUUUAGAGGUGUGCAAUUUUUUUAAGUUGAAUGUGGUUUUGGUUAUUUGACUUUGAGAUCAUUUAGCAUAAUUUUCUACCACCAUUUGUUGAUAGGCUCUUGUGGAUGCUCCCGACAUGGUGAGGUCCCAAGUGAACUUCAAGAGGCUGUCACUCACUGACAUCAAGAUUGAUAUCAAGAGGAUUCCAAAGAAGAAGGAUCUCAUCCAAGCCAUGGAUGCUGCUGGUUGGUACACGUUUUUUAGAAUAAAUUGUUAUUUAAUUUGAAGCAUUCCUUUUGUUGAUGGGUGUUUUUCCUUGCUGAACAGAUGUUAAGAACAGGUGGGAGAAGAGUUCAUGGGGAAGGAAACUGAUUGUGCAGAAGAGAAGAGCAUCUCUCAAUGACUUUGACAGGUUCAAGAUUAUGUUGGCAAAGAUCAAGGUUGGUUUCAUUCUACAUGACUAUUCUCACUGUUUCAAUUUUGGUAUUGCUCUUCUAAUAGUUUGUGAAUUGGCUUUUAUGCAUAGCAAAAUCCAAGUGUCUGUACUAUUGUGUUGUCAUAUCAUUUUGGCUUUGAAGUUAAUUUACAAUUUUUGUUUCAAUUUGUGCAGAGGGCAUCAGUUGUUAGGCAAGAGCUUGCUAAGCUGAAAAAGAGUGCUUAGGCAUAAUUCCAUGUGCAAUUUCCUAAUUUUGUUAUGAAUUUCUUUCAAUUUAGUUUACUUUGGUUACAUGGGUUUUAUUAUGUAUCAUUGACAGAUUUUCUAGAAAUUUUUAUUGAGAUCCUUUAUGUUACUAGUGGAUUGAUGCCUGUUUUCGUAAUCUCAUUGUUAUAAUAUGGGGUGCCUAUUUUUGCACUGUUCGAUUAUUGGUUUUUGACAUUAUUAAAAAUACCUUUUGCUACAAUGCAAAUGUUAUCAGAAAUUGUUUUUUAUUUUUCUCAUUAGGAUUUGAUCAUUUUUUUCUUUUGUUUUUUGUUUUAAAUUUUAAUAUUUCUGUUCCUUGGUAAUUGGUUGUUCACGGUUGUGGUGUAAAUGAUUCAAAAUUAUGUUUUUUACCAAAAUUGUAUCAAUUUUUAUCAAAUAGAGUAGCAUUUGCAAAAGUUUAGAUUUGGUUUUGAUUUCAAAAUUGUUUCAAUGUUGUUUCUCCUUAAUUGAAAACUAGUGUGUGAAUUUUACUUUUUAAGAAUAGUCAUUUGUUAAAGGGGUGGACAAGAAAUUAAUUUUAAUCCUACAGAUUCUUAAAGGUGUGAGAAAGAAUAGAAAAUUUAAAAUUCAAUUUGGAGGUUGUAAAUGUUUUGGGACUUCAUUUACGUUUCUUAAAUGAAUUACUAUAUUUUUGAACAAUUAUCAAAUGAAACGUUUAUGAUGUUAUUUAUUACAUUUUAAAUCACAUUAUGUCAAAAUUUAAUAUUUAUAUAUUUAUAAAUUAAAAGAAAAUAUAUUUGUUAUAUGUUUUUUUCGAAUUUUAUUUAUUUAUUUAAUUUAAAAUUUUCUAUAUAUAGUAAAAAUUAGGAACCUUCUCAUCAUUUACUUUUUUUGAAUUGAAAAAUCCUAAUUGGAUUAUUCAUAUAUACAAAAAUAUUAACUGAGUACAAUUAUGUCUAUUAAAUAGGCAGAGCAUCGAGUACAAGUGUUAAAUAAGCUAUAAUUUAAUAUGGUCCAACAUAGAUAUAAUGAUUCGGCUUUUUAAUCCGAAAAAAAUAUGAUUAUAUGAUUUUUUAUUUUAUGAAAUAAUAAUAUCAAGUAAAGACUUAAUGAUUUUUCGGAUUGAUUUAUUUUAUAAGCUUAAUUUCAUUGUUUAAUUUAUUCUUUAACAAUAAUACAUUUUAAUACUAAUUGUCAAUUUAUAUGAUAAAUUAAUAAUUGUUUGAAAAAAGAAAGUAAUAAUUGUUAUUAAUGAAAAAUAUUAGUAAUAAAUUAAUGAUUUUAAAUUGUUAUUUUUUUAUCACUAGACGACUCAGCUAGAUAAUAUUAGUAAUAAACCUAUAUAAUAUUGUGUUAUUUUUUAAUACUCAACUACUCAUUUUUUUUUCCAGAAUAUAUUACAUCGAAUAAAAUUAUUAUUUAGAUAAAAAAAAAAUUAAUCAUUAUAUUUAAUUAAAUUGAAUAUUAUUUUAUAUAAAAAACUACUAUUUAAAGUUAAUUUUACUAUUAAUAACAAUUUACAAAAUAAUUUUUAAACAUUAACAUUUUAGUUACUAACUACUUUAAAACUAAUAAUUUAAUUUAAACUUAAUUAGUAAUUAAAAUAUUGAUACUAAUAUUAAAUAUCAAUUUAAAAAUAAUUUUAUAAAUUUUUAUUAACAAUAAAAUUUAUUUUAAAUAUUUAAUAAUCUUUUAAUUUAUAAAAUAGCAUCUAAUAACACUGAUUCUUUUCUUUAAAUGGAAGAAAAUUUGAAAAAAAAUAUGGUGCUAAACAAAAUUGAAUAUGCAAGUUUCACUAAAUGAAAUUAUGUGGGGAUGAACUAAAUAAUUAACUCGAAAAAACAAAUAAUUGAAAUGGUUGCACCUAUAAUCAUGAUUGAAAAAGGACACGUAAAUGGCAUUAAAGUAUGCAAUAGGUAGAUAUUAAAGCAUAUUGAUGUCAGUUUCUGAAAAAAUAACACCCCAAUUCCACACCACUGUUUCUUACUUGUUUCAUAAAUACUAUUUAUUUAUAUUUUAUCCUUUCAUUUUUUUCUUUUUUCUUUAGGGUUCUAAGCUCUGUUAACUUCAUAACUUUGGCAAGAAUCAUGGCAUGAGGCAUGCAACAAGAAAAAAAUUAAAUUAAAUGUCUUAUACGUCUCUCUCUCAACUCAAUUUUAUAAGUAAUAAAAUGUAUAAAUUUGGUGGAUAAUUUUAAUCAAUUCAACCCACUUGUUUUUUUAGAGUCUUGUUUAGGAUACUGUUUAAAAGGUUUAAAAAAAAAAAUAGAAAUCAUAAAGAAUUUUUUUCGCCUAUACUAAGAAAAUGAUUGACAUUUUUGCUUUUAAGUUAUAUUUGAAUCUAAAAAAAUCAAGACAGAUAAACUACAUCUUGUCUUUGUCUUGAGGAUAACUAAGAAAACAAAAUUAUUUAAACUAGAAUCUAAAUUUUACUUAAUUUUAUUUAACGAACUUAUAAGAUAAAAUUUGUACUAUUUAUAUAUUAUGAAAUAAUUUAAUUUGUAGUUAAUAAAAAAUCUUUAACACAUUUUUUCACUUUAUAUGUUAAUAAGUUAAAACUAUUAACUGAAACUAUAUAUUAUUGAAUAGAACUAUAUAUUAAUGAAUCAUCCGAUAGUAAUUCAAUAUAUAGAAGGUAACAAUAAAAUUAACAAACUUUUUUUUUUUCAGAUGAGAUAUAUAAAAUUAAUAAUAAGUUUAAUUUAACUUUCAUCUCAAAUGUAUAGCUGAGGUUAAAACCAAGUUUUUAAUCUUAAAAUAACUUAUACUAAAAAAUUCUUAAAACAACUGAAUCUUUAAUUUUACUAAUAAAGACAUUUCAUACAUACUGUAUUCUCUUUAACUAAAACAACUUAAUCUAAUAUUAAUAUUUGUAGUUGUUGUUUUUAGUGUAAUUGAAUUCCUUGUUUUUUGUGCAGGACGGUUACUGCAUAUUCAAAACUUUCUCCUAACAGAUAAUAAAAACCAAUUAAUUUUUUGAAUAGAGCAGCUACUACUACCUUACACAACACCUCUAUUCAAUAUGCAACCACCCAGCCAAAAGAAUAAAUUGCCUCACAUCUUUUUUUCAUCUCAAAACAUUAACAAAUAUGGGAUUAAGAGAGUUUCAUAUAACCCUUAAGGUAUGUCCAUUCUUCAUUGUUCUAUUGAGGUUAUUUGAAGUUCAUCACAAAUAAUCAUUACCUUUACACAUUUUCUUGUAGCUAAGAACAAACCUUUAGAUAUAGUUACAUAUAUUUAAUGAAUCUUUCAUACUGCAAAUUAGUGAGAUGAAGCUCUAAUCUUGAUUGAAGAAACAAAACCAAAAGUACCUGAGUUUUGUUGUUUUGGUAAAUGCUUGUUCAUAUGAAUGAAUGGUAAUCUUUCCAUUGACUUGAACAGGCAUUUCGGGUGAAACGUUUUUUCUUUGGAAGAAGGAGAAAUAAAUGGAGUGCAAACAAGCCUUCAUGGAUGAUUCCAAUAUCACAUGGCCAUCAUGUGGUGGAGCAUCACGUGAUCAAAGGUGGUUCUGAUGACUCAGAGUUUGAUUCAGUUGUGAUACAGAGGGAACAGAUGGAUCACACAGAACUGUGGUAUUUUGGAAUUUUUGAUGCUGUAGUUGGAGAUGGAGUUACCAAGUAUGUGCAAUCCCAUUUCUUUGGCAAGAAGCUCAAAGAGGUGAGAAAUCAAUAUAAGUAAUAAUGCUCAUGAAUGGUUAUUAGUGGCAUAUAUUCUCAUUUAUCAAAUUUAGACAUUCAUUAUGAAAGAGAGGUAGAGAACAAAGCUUAAAAUUUCAAUUUGGCUUCAUAGAUUUUAUUACUCAAUUAUCAUUAUAUUAUACAUUUCCAGUAAAAUGUGUGGAAAAAAGCUGAUAGCUAUAUAUGCAAUUAAGCCAAAUAUCCACAAUACUUCACCUAAGGAUUAUUCUAAGAUGAUCAUCUAUAUUUCUGGCCUCUGGUGUGUUUGUGAUGUUUCAACUACAUGUUAGUGUCAUAUGAGGAGAAAGAGCAAAGAAACACUGAAGAGAGCUUACCUCGGUGUGAGAACAAAGAUCAGAGAGGCACUGAAGCCAGAGGAGGAGAUAUGCAGAAUAGGUUCAACAUCAGUGAUGGUGAUAAAUGGAGAAAAGCUUGUGAUAGCCAACAUGGGAGAUUACAGAACUGUUUUGUGCAGAGAUGGUGUUGCUUAUCAGACAACUGGCAGAUACAAUCAAUCAGCCAAGAGAAACUGGUACAACAAACUCUUCUCAGGUAUCAAUCACUCACAUAUUUUUUUCAUUAUCAUUUGAAAGAUCCAAUCAAGAACAUUUCAUUAUAUACAUGUGGAUGCAAACAUAAAUCACAUAAAUCUUAUAAACUGGUUUUAUGGGUUGAGUAAGGUUAAAGUAUACAUAUUAAUUUAUUUGUUUUUGUUCACAUAUCUCAUAAUGAAUGCUAUGCAUGUGCACAAAAGCACGCACGAUUGCUUGUGAAUCAGGCAACACAACAGGCACAAAGCAUUCUAAAGGCUCAGAACUUGUGGUGGGAGGUGAUAGAAUCGACUCUGAUACUGAAUUUUUGAUCCUAGCAAGCAAUGGCAUAUGGGAAGUAAGUCCUAGAAGAUUAGGUAACUCAUAACCAUAGUUGGUCACUAGAAAACAGUGGAUCAUGAAUCUCAAUAUGUGUUUGCAGGUGAUGAAGAACCAAGAGGCUGUGAAUCUCAUAAGACACAUAGAAGAUCCACAAGAAGCAGCUGAUUGCUUGGCAAAGGAAGCUUUGAUUAGGAUGAGCAGAAGCAAAAUUUCAUGCUUAGUCAUUCGCUUUGACUGAUAUGUCACCAUAGUUGGUUUAUCCUAGUUGCAGCAGUUGCAGCACUGUAGAGAGCACUUUAUGAGUUCAAUACACAACUAGAUUAUCAAGGUGUUUGCAGAUUCAUCAUCUCAAAACUCAAGAAAAAUGGGCCUAGUAAUGACCAAUGUGGUUGAUGAAAAAUUAAGUAUUUUUUUUUCUGUAAUUCAUAAGUGAUUUGCACUAAUGUUUACAGAUUUUUUUUAUAAGCUAAUUUGGUUUACAUUACUAUUUAAUUACUACUUUAAUGUAAUUUUAUUUAUAAUACAUAUUAUUUGACAUACACAAAAUAAAAUGAACCAACUCUAUUUUGAUACUUCAUCCUGAAUUAUUAUAAAAACCAGACAAACUUAUUAUACCCCUCCUAUAUAAAACUGAAACAACAAAUAAUAUGUAACUAUAACUAUAUUAUCAAAAUGUAAGUAUUGAAUAAAAAUAUAUUUACUUAUUAAUUCUUUUGGUAUAAUCCAAUAGAAAAUAAAUAUAUGAAAUGUCUCAAAGUAGUUUUGAGAUUAUGAGAUCCUUUACUGAAUAAGAUCAUCCAAAAUUAAAAUGUUACAAAUUAAAAACAGCGGAUCUAGUUCCUGCUAAAUUUCCCUAUGACUUACCCAGAAACUGAAACUGAAGUUGAGAAAAAAACAAGAGUUUAGAAUAAGAAUGACUUGUUCUUGCAUAUACGUUUAUUUUUAAACUUCACAAAUCAAUAGUAUUAAGUAUUAUAGCGAGAUUAUGGUGAGUGUGAUCAUGUGUAGUAAUGAAAAGUGUAAUAUGAUUGUAGCCCUUUUGUAUGCUCAUUUUUUGGUGUCUUGUGCAUACUUUAGGUAAUAUAUGCAUCAUUUUCUCUGUAUCCACUUUCAAGGCUUCAUUCGCUGCUCAUCACCAAACAAAGUUUAGUGUUAUAUCUUUGGUGUCUCUCAGAAUUUUUCUCCUUAGAUAUUUCAUUCUUUAUCAUUUAAGCUUCUGCAGUACCAUGUCCUUUAACAUAAUCCAGAAUAAUGAUUUAUCUGACAUUUCAGUUAUUGCAAGUGUGCUUCUUAAAUAUUUCUAUUUUGUACUUAAUCUGUUUUCAUUUUGAUUUGAUUACUUAAUCCUGCAACAUGCUAAAUAAACAUCUAUAAUGCCCUUGCUUCCUUCAAAUUUCAAGCUCUCCACUUGCUAAAUCUCAUUCUUUACCUCAAAAGAUUCACUAUCUCAUCUUCUCUUACUCUCUUUUCCUUCACUCAUGCUUUUAUGUAAUCAUAUUCUACUUAAAUUGUAGUAUUUGAAAAAAAAUUCUUUCUACCUCUCCAAAAACUAGUUAAUUUGUUUUAACUUUUUAAACAUUAAAAGAUAAUGCAGUUAUAGAAUAUGUAUGGUUAUUGAGACUUUUGCAAGAAAAAAUAGAGGCAACUUUACUAUAAUCAAUUGUAUUAAACCAAACCACCCACUUUUAUUUAUUAUUGUGUCAAAUUACAUGAAGAUAGGAAAGAAAGACAAGAAAGAAAACACAAACAUCAGACUUGUUACAUUGGGAGAGGAAUGAGGCUUCCAAUCCUAAUGUUACAUUAAAGAGACAGAAGUAAACUUUGGCAAUGAAAGCUUUAUUUGUAGCAUAUUAUGCGACCAUGUUUUGUGAUGAGACUAAGGUGGUUGAUGAUGAUGGUGAACCCUUCUUUAGCUGACAGGCAAAAUGCCUCUAAGACAUGUCCAACCAUCAAGGAUAGGCCUCACAUCACCCAGAAGAACGUCAUCAUAUGCAUCUGGGGUGAAUUUCAUACGCACAUACUCAUCUCCUUUGAAAAGGUAAGCUUCAGACUCUUC